ACCUUUUUUUUUGCAAUCCGUUGACAUAGCGCCACCGUGGCGCUGACAUGACGCCUCCGUGGCGUUAACGUGGUGCCGACAUGGCAUUUUCCAUCAAUUUUAACAGCUAUAUAACAACUGGGACUUAAUUGAAAUGAAAUCAAGAGAUUAGAGACUUGAUUGCAAAAAAAAAUGGUUGGAGACCAAAUUGAAAAACAGUGUAAAGGUUAGGGACCAUUGGUGUAAUUAACCCAAUUAACACAUUAUACCAAUUAAAUAUAAUCAUAUAUAUACAAUUAACUAGAAUUUUAUUAGGAAACACUAUUAAACACUAUUAUUAUUAUAAUUAUACUCAAAUAUAUAAUAACAAUUUUAUUAGGAAACACUAUUAAAUCAAAUUAAAUCAAAUUAUACUAAUUAAAUAUAAUUAUAUAUACAAUUAACAAUAAUUUUAUUAUUAAACACUAUUAUUAUAAUUAUACUCAAAUAUAAAAUAGCAAUUUUAUUAGGAAACACUAUUAAAUCAAAUUAUACUAAUUAACAAAUUAUACCAAUUAAAUACCAAUUAAAUUAGGAAACACUAUUUUAGUUUUUUUUUUCCUUCAUAUUUUCUUGAAGGUCAACAUCUAUAUAUAUUUGAAUCUUGAAAGUUGGUAUGUCUCUCAUAUACGUAUGUUUACUCUAAUUUGUGUCAAACAUGGAAAUUUAGUUGAUCUCAUUAUAUGGUUAAAUAUUAAUGUCAUUUGUAAUUUUUCAUAUCAAUUUGAAUUCUCAUUUUGUUUUGCACAUCAAUAUGUAAAUGUAAAUUAUUUUGCAUACCAAUUUAUAGAUAAUAGAGCAGGGUUGAAUUUUGCUCUUUACCUGAGUAUUUACUUUGAUCCAUAAUUUUAUUUUUCUAGCUUUUGUACUUUAAUAUGUACUAUAAUUAAGAUUGAUAGUAUAUUUCUUUAUUUGUUAAAAAAAAUAAUAUUAAUUAUAAUAUUUUUCUUUUAUCAUUACAUAAUAACUUUUAUUUUUUAUAUUAUUAUAUUAGCCGUGCAUCGCACGGGUUAAAUACUAGUUUAUUAGUAAAAACAUUACGCCCUUAUGCCUCAUCUUUGCCUUUUAUAGUGCGUCGUUACAAUCGUUGGAGUAACUCUUGCGGUCCGCCACCUUUCUUCUGCAAUUGCCUCCUAACUCCUCGCUUUAUAUCGCAUCCAUUUGAAUUUUAAACUAUUUAAUUCAAAUGGACUCGUGUUUCAAUCUUUUGAAAUAGGCGGGUCGAAAAUCCAAUUGGUCAUUUUUUGGCCUUCUUGCCAAAAUUUUUUUGGGUGUUCAAUCUUGAUAAAACUUAUCUUCAGAGCCAAUAAUACUAGAAAGUGGAUUAUUUUUUUGAGAGAGAUAGGUAGCAUACUACCUGCUUCGUUUAUUUCACUUAAAAAUAAAUUUAGCUGGAAAUGUAAAUUAACUAGAAUUCAAACUUGAGUCUCGAAUACUAACUACCAACUCCUUUGCCACUUACUCUAGGGACGUUCGGUAUUUAUUUAUUUAUUUAUUUUUUAAGUAAUCUAAGAUAAAAAAGCAAACGCUUUUAUGCGUUGCACUCUUGCGAGCAUUUUCCUUCACCGCCUUCAAUAAACUCGUUCAGUGAUUCGGUUCGGACCGAACAAAAAGGGUAUGAAACGGACCGCGGCUCAUCCACGGUAUUUCGGUCUUUUUAGGUCGCUUUGUGGCUAAUUUUCCUCCACACCUCUCUCCGACCACUCCUUACCUUCCCUUCCCUUCCCUUCUCUUCUUCCUCGACGUAACUCUCUCCCUCCUCCCUCCAAUAUCCCCCAAAUCCCUGACCGCCUUCCUCUUCCUUCUUCUUCUUCUCUCUCCCCUACUUAAAACCCUUAACCCUACCUCCAGACCCUAGCUAAUACCCCUUUUCUCUUGCGCACGUCGGCUCUCUCGCUUUUCUCGGCUUCCUUCUUCGUCUCUCCUGCUUCUUGGGGUGCCGAUGGGGUGAAGAAAAAGGGCGAGAUCUAGGGUUUUGCUGCGGCCAUGGAGUGGGACAGCGAAUCGGACGUACCGAGCGGUGGGGAAGGAGGGGAGGAGGAGGAGGAGGAAGACGAAGAACAGGGGUUCGUGCUUAGGGGCGGCGGCGGCGGUGGCGACGGGGGAUUUUUCUCGUUAGCCGUUGAGGGGAUGCUGCGCUCGGCGGCAUCGUGUGGGCUGGUGGUCACGGAUUCGCUGGAGCCGGAUUUUCCCAUUAUUUAUGUCAAUAGAGGGUUCGAGGAGGCUACAGGGUACCGCGCCGAGGAGGUGCUCGGGAGAAACUGGUUAGUUGCUCUUCUUAUUUCAUCCUGAUUUUCCAUAGUGUCGUAACAUGGGAAGAUGUUGGUGGGUUUUCGAGCUUCUGGUAUUUCUCUUGCUCAGCAAGUCUUUUUCCCUAACAGUUUUUGGGUCGAGGUCGUGAUUAGGGUCACGCACGCUCCUAAUGAACGAACCAAAUAACUGUGGAAAGGUUGUGAUGUAGGGAAUUAUCAUAAUUUUGAUGGUAGUUGCGAGGUUGUCCUAUGCAGUGUAAUAAUCCAACAUGGCGUCUUUUGUGUCCAUUAGUAGAGCAUUUGACGAACAUAAAUUUCUGGUGCUUCGGAUUAUGCUGCUGAAUGAAGCUGUUGGGAGCAUUUUACAUAAUGCUUCUCCAAACUACUUUGACAAUACCUCCUCAAACUUCGUUACACCCUAUGGCAAGGCCAAGCAACCCUUAGAAACUUCAUUCAGCUGUAACUAUUUGAGGUAAAUAGACAUCUGUAACAUUUGGGAUAUUCAUUAGUAUGUGGAGAGAUUAUUCCAGUAGAAGAGGGAUUAACGAGAUAAGAAGUAAACAAGCUACUGUAGAGGAGGUGUAUUUUGUAUUUAUCUCUAAAAUUAUAUGCUCUAGAUAUUUAUAGCUGUAAUUAAUGCUGUGUGAUGGCAACUUGUAGAAUAUUUGGCAUAAGCUUUGAGUCAUUGUUCUUCUUUAGGUUAAUUUGCAGUCUUAGUUCCUUUUUCCAGGCUAGUUAUAUUUAUUUGUGGCAAUUCAAUUAUGUUUAUGUUAUCUUUCUAUCCUUCCAAUGGAGGAUCUAGAGAAGAAGAAAAUGGGGCUCUAGGGUCCAUUUUGGUCUUACCUUUCUAAGAUUUAGAUUGGAAUUUUGGAUGAAAUCAAUGUGUUUUAGAAAGUUGAGAUGGGUUGGAGUUGGCUGACAUUAAGGGCCCGUGUGGUUCACGGUUUGUAAUAUUCCGGUAUUCCUGCAUAUUUUUCUUUUGCAAAUAUUCAAAUCAUUACCAUUCAACUCAAAGUUGGGUAGUUGUAAAAGGUGUUGGUGAAGUAAUGGAAUCAUUGUAGAUCGCUAGGUGGUAGGAAUACUAGAUUGUCAUGAGUUAGGAGGUAUUCUUAUUUCCAUGCUUGAUGGGAAUCAUUAGUAGUUUAGUAAUAAGAAUAUACCAGUUCGUAAUAACCUCCCAACCAAGUGGCUUGGUAAGUUAGUAACAAAUUUGCCAUUCCAAAUAUAAAAUAUACAACGUUCUCGGAAUUUUACAAACGUUGAACCAAAUGGCUCCUAAGAACGAUUUGUUGCACCACUAUGUAUCAUUUGGAGAGAGCUCUAUAUUUUACUUUCAAAAUGGCGAGAUUGUCAACGUGCAACUUGGGUUGGAAGAGCAUAAAGCGGAUUAGAAAACGUCUUGAAUUCUUGAUUAUUUGGCAUUUGACAGGAUUAACGUUCCUUAUAAGAAAUGAUUAGUAAGUCAUUAUGCCUUCUAACCCGAGAAGCUUGGUAGCACUUGUCACAUCCCGUUACCGCCAAUUUAGUCGGUUCGGGCACGUACACAGACGCCGAACGGACAGCACCUCCCCUGUCCGCCCAAGGCUCAAUUAUCACAUUUACAUGUAUAAAGAAUUAACCCAGGAUAAAAUUUCAGUAUAUAUGGCUUGCACGAGGGCAAGCAACAAGCACAAGUGAAAGUAACUAACUAAACAUACAUUCAUUGUAUCUUGAAAAGUUUAAACAAAAUACAAAGCUUGAUAACUUAUUACAUUCAUUUACAAGAUAUUACAUGUUCAUUUACACUAUGUUCUCUACAUGUUUCCUUUCAGCAUAUAUAUACAAGAUGAAACCAAAAAGGGUACACAGCUAUACUCGGGAGUCCACUAGCUAGGGUGCAAUGCUCUUACCACGAUUCUCGACCGCUCCGCUCGCGCUAGGAUCUGCAUGGUUAGUGGUAUGAGAACUACUAAAAGUUCCCAGUGGGUUCGGCCGCCGAUCCCGUCGACUCACCCACUACGUCUAAUUAGGCAUAUGUAGGCAAUAAAAGAUAAUAGAUAGUAACCAACUAUAUCUACUACAAUGCCUGUACAAAGCUGGAAAGAACAACAUAUAACUUAUGAAAUUUAUGCAUGCAUGCUACUAAUACCAUUAUCCAAUCAAUUUGGUUAACCAUUUGGUUAACUACAACUCACCAACCAAAUCCCUUUUGUCGGGGAGGAUUCCGCUACAACCCGACGGGACGUCUACUGGGGAGAAUUCCACUACCAACCCAGUUGAUGACAACUCCGGAGCUCACCGCCCAAGGUGGAGCGACCUACCUCGAGCAUUGGACUACUUGUGAGUACGAUUCAAUCCUCGACUUCGAGGAUACCAUGUAACCAUUUUUAUCUAGUUUUCUAGAUGCUAACCAAUUCCUCUAGUCACGAUGCCACCAAGUUUACUAUUGUCAUAGUCCACUACAAGUUCACACAUUCAUAGAGUUUCUAUGUCCAUAUUCUAUUGUCCACAUGUACUUUACAUUGGCAGAUAUUCAAUUGCUCAUUUCAUAGCUACAUAAUGACAUUUACCCUAUAAUGCAUGAAUACAAUAUUAUUCAUAUACAUAUAUGCUCAACAAGGCGAUAUAGACAUAACGAGAGAUUCGAAGAUUUCGGAUAGCACCACCCACCUCGUAGGGAUGCCGGAAUGCGAGAACUAAUGCCUCGGAAUUUUUAAACGUCUAUUCUUUUCGACCCACAGCUAACGAAACCAAAAUGAGGUUUUUCCUAGCUAGCUUGCCGUAGGCUCGUCGGAACGCCGCUUCGAGCUUCCCAACGCGUCGAACUUUCCUUCAUUUAGGAAUACAAGAGAUCAAACUCAUGUCAUAUUCAUAUUCCUACAAAUUUCAUAUCUAACCCAAGAGUGCACAUAUGACACUCAACAUAUAGCUUUUUCUAGGUUUCCAUGGCAAAAUAAGCUCUAGCAACCAAGAAAUCCCAAGCUCAACCCUUUCUUGGGUAAAUACCAUAAACCCUAACAAAGAGACAGCAUAAUCUUUACCUCAGGUUUCUUUACAUCACCAGAUUUUCCUUGCUCUUAAGCUCCCUCACAGCCCAAAACACCAACCAACUCCACAACUUUUCCUUCAAAAUCCACCCACCAUAGGUUUUAGAGAGAGAAGGAGAAAGAAAUGAAAAGGAGGAAGGGAGAGGUAGCUCCUAUACGUAGGAAGCUGGUGGAGGGCUUGGGGUUUAAGAUAAGCUCAAACAAUUGCACUUAAACCCCCCACAAAAGCUGUAAUUCUUUUUACAAUUCAGUCCAUUUUCGGGGCUGGGUACCGGUACUCCCCUGAGUUGGUACCGGUACUCAAUGCAAAUUCUGCAAUUUCAACAGCAGCAGUGUUCCGAGGUUUAUUUUCCGCGCCCAAUUCGCACCGAACACUUCUAAACACUUCUGAAACACACUGAUAACCAUCCCCACGCCACCCAAGUAGCUCGGGGACAACCCGGAUCAUACUCACGCUUCACUUUGAUCAAUUUGAUCAAAGUUGCCUCGUACUCGGAGAUUCGGUAUAUUACAACACUAUUAGCUGGAGAUAUCCUACUUUCUGUUCUAUAAGGUUUGCCCAUUGAUGAUUUCUAGCUAAAAUUUUAUUUGUUUAGAGGCAGAAUUAGCAUGUGUAUGUUUAGUUAGAAGUUGUACGUGGGCUAUUUAAAAGGUCAGCAUCUUUCCCUACUAUUGCAUCGUGAAAUUUGAGAAUAUGUUGGGAGUUGUACAAAACUUUGUGGUCAUGAUGGAUGAAACUUACAAUUUUUUUCUCUAAAUGUUCCUUAUUUUCUAACUUCAAGUGUUUAAGGGCCCAUUGAUGCUAAAUAAGGUACACUUGAUUAAUGGAAUCGUUAAUAGUUGGGUUAAUUUUGUGUCCUGCGAGAAAUCAAGGUAUGAUAUAGAUAUAUCAUAUGCCUUGCGCCAAUUCUCUUCUUUAGUGUGUACAUAAAUAAAUGAUUGAUGCAUACGGACUUGUUAGAGUGAUAUUGACUAUACAUGAGGUUCCUUUGUUAUUGACAUUAAUAUUGUCAACUUAGUUAUGUCGUCAACAUAUUAGCAUACGUGUGUAUACGGUCCUUUUAAACCCUUACAUGUAGAUGAUUUCUAACUUAUGUGUUUAUGCUUUGUUAUUCAUUGUAAGCUUAUAAUCUAAUGGCUGAUGAGUGAGGUGAACAUUAUUUAUUUACAAGUAAAUUGUAUAUAGCUGUAUUUAAUGUCACCCUAUUUUGUUGGGGUAUUGAUUGGGGCAUCAGAGCCGAGCAUGCUAUAGCUUGGAUGCUAAAGUAUGCUAUAACUUCCGUUCUUUAGUUUAUUGAAAAGUCUGUUGGAUUAAAACUAGUGUUAUUAGAGAAAGGAAGGGGAAACAAAAAAGAUGUUCCUUACCAGCAUUUAUUAGAGAAAGGAAAAUUAACUGAUUUUGUUGGAGAAACAAAAAAAGAUGUUUCUUGCCAACAUUUGAGACACCAAACUUCUUUCUAAAAUUGAGCUUGCUAGCUCUUCCAUCAUCGGGACUUGGUACCUAUGGAAUAUUUCCUAAUAGAGUGGCUUCAAGUACUACAUUAAUCCUUGAUGCCUACUAAGAGUUGGAUGUCCUAAAGGAGUUCCAAAGGCCAAAUAAACCAUAUGCAAAUUAGUCGGAUAAAAUAUAACAAUUGUUCUAUAAUAUAUAAGUUCAAAUUUGGUGGACAUUGCCUCCAAACUAGCUUGGUGUGGGAUAGUGUGGAUGCGUGCUGCGUGGCAAGUGACGCGCAUCUAAAGGUGUACGGAGGGAGGUAAGAAUCCAUGGAGACCUCCUAAACUAUCGGUCAUUUUGAAAUAGCCCAUUGAACUAUAAGUUUGUUUAAUUGAGAUUCGUCAACUUUAAUUAUUAUUUUUUUUAGAAUUGGGCGAUUUUAGUAAAAUAAAUUGAGAAUUUUACCAAAUCAGGAGAAUUUUUAUCAAAUUUAACAAUUUAAAAUAUUCCAUAGCGAAUUAAAAUAGAUUAAUUAGCUAGUAAUAGCAAAUCGAGCGAUGAAAUUUAGCAAAAUUAUUUAACUUAGGAUUCAUCGAUUGCUUCCAUCUAGCAAAGUCUUAGCUCCUUGAACUAAUAACUGUAACUUAAUUAACUGGUAACUAUAAAACUGAAAUUAAAAAAAAUUAGAAUGGUUAUAGUUGAGGGGAUCAUACCUUUUCUUUUUACCAGGAUUUUUUUCGAAAAUAAUCCUGUAAAAUUUCGUAUUUCCCAAACUAACCCUGUGAAAUUUUUAUUUGUGAAACUAACCCUCCUUUCGCCACGUGGGCGCCACGUCAGGGAUUCCUCAGAAAGACGGUGAAUCGUUCAUCGUUUUUGUAAUUUUUGUUGUAAAAGCGGUGAAUGGUUCACCGCCUUUAGUGCAAAAUUUUCCUUUCCGCUCUUUCCCCUUUCCGCCCUCUCAAGUCCGCCGUUUCUGUGCCCUCGAGAAGACGGGGAACGAUUCACUGUCUUAUCAAGGACACUAUAUUAUGGACUUGGAAAGAUUUGCGCAGAGUAGGGAUUUGUACUAAAGACGGUGAAUGGUUCACCGCCUUAUGAAGAUGGUGAACUAUUCACCGCCUUCACAACAAAUAUCAAAGACGGUGAACGAUUCACCGUCUUUUUGAGGAAUCCCUAAUGUGGCGCCCACGUGGCGAGAGGAGGGUUAGUUUCACAAAUAAAAAUUUCACAGGAUUAGUUUGGCAAAUACAAAAUUUCACAGGGUUAUUUUCGAAAAAAGUCCUUUUACCAAGAAGCAGGCUAUAAUGUACCCAGAAAGAAAAUUAGGAUGUUCAACCUAGUUUUGGACUUCUGCUCAAAAGAAGGAAAAAAAAAAGAAAUUCAAUCUACCUCCUUGUGGUUUGGCACAUUUUCACUUUGUCACCUGUAGUUCAACAUGUUGUACUUCAAUUAAAUACACAGCUAAACAAGGUUGCAAAAUGGUAGAUAUACAAACCACAUGACAGUAAAAUAUAUCAUUUUAUUAUUCUGUAAUUUGUACUUUGUGGUUUUGUGCUUUCCUAAAUAUAUCACUUUGUUAUCCUAUUCACCAACAAGUUCCGACGAUGAAAUGAAAAUACAAUAAAAGGGUAUAAGUGUACUAUGUUUUAGACCAUGAGGCGGCAAAGUAAAAAAAUGCGCUAAAUUACAAGGAAGGAAAGUGAAGUUCACCCUUUUCGCUAAACCACAAGGGACCAUCCUAACUUUUGAGUUCUUAAGAAUUAAGUAAUUUUAGUUAAAAUUAGGAAUUUCAUCGGUGAUUUUACUAAAUUUAAUAACUUUAAUCAAUUUGUAGUAAAAUAAAUUAGAUCAUUAAUUGUUGAUUAUUAAUAAUGUCAUUGAGAUUGAUAGAAGUAUUGACUUAAAGUAUCAACUCAACUAAUCUCAAAAAAGAAAGAAAGAAAGAAAUGGGUCUAUUUCAAAACAACCCAUAGUUGAGGGGAUAUCCAUACGUUCUGACCCAUUCCCGGGGAGAAAUUUGGAAAGCUUUAGAUGGAUGUCGCUUACCACGUGGCGCGCAUCAACAAAGUCUCCAAACCAAGCUGGUUUGGGAAUAGUUUUACCAAAUUUUUGUCCACAACAUAUGUAUACACAAUUGCCAAAGAACUUGAAGCUCGGAGUGGGAAAUCACAUACGAUUUCCCCAAAAGCAUGUAGGUAUUGCAGAGAGCUUGUGGUUGAUUGGCAGUUUAUGAACUUGAGUAUGAAAAUCAUACUUUGAUAUUGGCUUAUAGAAGGUGGACCUUAGAUUGGAAAAUUGCAUGAGGUUUCCCUUAAAGCAUGUAGGUAUUGUGGAGAGUUUGUGGUUGACUAGAAGUUUAUGAACUUGAGUAUGUAGAUCAUGUUAAAAACCAUGAUAUUGGUUUACAAAUUACACAGAGGAUCAAGCUCUCAAAUUGGUCUCACUGAGGGCAGUAUCAUAAUUUCUUGUCUAAUUAGAAUAGGUUGCUUAAGUCAAACGACAUGCUUGAUUCUCAGAGAUAAUUUUUUGACUUAUAUUUAGGGGAUGCACUCUUGGUUGAAACAUUCUACACUAGUGAGGAUUAGGGAGCACGAAGGAUGGUUUAGAUCUUGGGACUCAUAAGGAUUCUACAAGGAUGUUCUCACGUUGCACUUUUUGUAUUCAAAUGCUAUUUCUUUUGUUCGGCGGUCGAUUGAUGUAGUUUCAUCACUGGUGUACAGAAAUCAGCUGUAACUCAUAAACCAUGAUAUAUAGACAAUUUCAAGGGCUUUUUUUGCAUUUAGACCCCUGGCAAAUUUUUAUUUUAAAAAUAGCCAUGUCAAAAUUUAAUUUGCAAAAAUAGCCCUGGGCCUGCCAUGCAGGCGCCACGUCAGUGCCACGCGGGCAGGGCCGGGCCCAUGUGUUAAGUUGAAUACGGUGAACCAUUUACCGUGUUCAAACACGGUGAAUGGUUCACCGUGUUUAGUACGUAUUUUUUAUAUAUUGAAAAGAGGAAUAAGGAAUAGGGAUGUCAAUAGGUAUGGAUAUCCGAAAUAUUAUCCGAAUUCAAACCUGAAUAAAUUAUAUAUAUAUACNAAAAUCUAUACCGUUGGAUGAAGAUCUAAGGAAUAAAAAUUAUUAAAUAUUUUAUAUAUUGUAUAAAUAAACAAAAAUAAAUUACGUAUAUAUAUAUAAUUUAUUCGGGUUUGGAUUCGGAUAAUAUUUCGGAUAUCCAUAUCUAUUGACAUCCCUACUCCUUAUUCCACUUUUCAAUCUACAAAAAAUACGUACUAAACACGGUGAACCAUUCACCGUGUUUAGACACGGUGAAUGAUUCAUCGUGUUCAACUUAAUACCCUGGCCCCAGUCCUGCCCGUGUGGCGCUGACGUGGCGCCUGCGUGGCAGGGACAUGGCCAUUUUUGCAAUUUUAAUUUUGAUAGGGUUAUUUUUAAAAUAAAAAUUGCUCGGGGGGCUAUUUACAAAAAAAGCCCCAAUUUCAAAUAUGCUAACUUUAUAAUUAAUCUAUGAAAGUCCAAAAUAUGUAGGAUCUAAAAGAAAUCUAGAAAAAUAACCCAAACGAAACCCACAGAUCAGAAGAAAGAAUGUAACACAAUUAGUUAAAUGUAAGCGUUACAUGGCAAAUAAGUUCUAUAAAUGUUAGAAUUUUGAAGGCAAAUAAGCUUUAAAAUCUGAGCCCUAAAGUUGGAUGAUCAGAUAGUUUUUGAAUCAAAAACUAAGGAUUCAAUCAUUGCUAGGGAGGGUGAUGACUUAUCUUAUAGUUUCUAAGAAUGGUGAGCAACUCAACUGUGGACCUUUGAACGAAAAGCGAGGUUGCUAAAGACCAAGGAUCAUGCAUUGUGGGAAGAGAAGUUUUUUUUUUUUAAUUAUUUUUUAUGUUUUAGGGCCAUAGGGGGAGCUCUUCUCAAUCUCUAAAUGACUUUUCCUCUAGAUUCUUAUAUUAAUUACAAUGUUUCAAAAAGCGGUCUAUGCAGCUGCAUAUGCAGUUCAAACAUAUGCAGUUCAAACCAUAAACCGCGUCACAUAUGUAACAUGCGGUGUGGUAUGCAGUUUGACCACAUAUGCAGCAAGAGGCCACAUAUGCGGCUGCAUAUGCAGUAAAUUUUUUUUUUUAAGGUGGGAUUGAAAUGCAGUGUUGGCUUGUUAAAUGAUGUGGAUGAUAAUUAUUGAAAAAAUAUUAUUAUUCUUCAUAAAAGUUUGUAUACCAAUUUUUAAAAUAGUAAUUUUGUUAGACAUUUUUUAUGAUUUCGCUUUGAAAUACUAUUUAUUUCUCUAUUUAAUAAUUAACAGUAAAUUACUAAUCAUUAGUUUAGUGAUACAUGUGUGCAUAUGAGAUCCUCUCCUUGAAAUUAGUUAUUUCAAUUUAUAAAUGCUGAUUUGCUACUUUAGUUAUUUAGUUAUGUUAGGAAGUAUUUAUAUAUAUUUUUAAUACCUGUAUAUAUUUUUUAAACGUUUUAAUAGCUAGUUCACAUAUGCGCUAUGCAGUGGUAACCACAUGGAUUGAAUACCGCUUUUGGAUUAUUGAAUAUUUAUAAGGGUAGAUGUAAAAGUAUUAAAAACUAAGGAUUCAAUAGAGAAAAAGAGUAGAGGCUUAGUCAAAGUGAAAGCAAGAGGGAGGGAGUCAGUGUUCUUUUUUCUCUCUUUGAAAUAAUUGAAGGUACUAUUUCUAAAUAAGGUACUUGAUUAUAUUAGGAAAAAGUAUGUGGUGACUGAGAUAAGUUAUCAGAUAAGUAGGAUAGGCUAUGGUAAGCUUUAUAUUUUUGUGAAAAUGACCUAUAUUAUUCUAACUUAUCUCAGUCACCACAUACUUUUUCCUAAUAUAAUCAAGUACCUUAUUUAGAAAUAGUACCUUCAAUUAUUUCAAAGAGAGAAAAAAGAACACNUAAGCUUUAUAUUUUUGUGAAAAUGACCUAUAUUAUUCUAACUUAAACAUUUAAUGAAACUUACUUGCCAUCUGGUCUUGAUUAAAGCUUAGAUAUUCCUUGAACAAACUAUAUGAGUGGCAUGCUAUCUGAAGUGCUCCAAUGUAGAUUUAUUGAAUGUUAGUUGAAUGGAAUUCACUCUGCUUUUGCCAGUUUGAAUUUGCAAGAUAAGAACACUUGUGAAAAUGACCUAUGUUAUUCUAACUUAAACAUUUAAUUGAAACUUAUUUGCCAUCUGGUCUUGAUUAAACCUUAGAUAUACCUUGAACAAACUAUAUGAGUGGCAUGCUAUCUGAAGUGCUCCAAUGUAGAUUUUAUUGAAUGUUAGUUGAAUGGAAUUCACUCGGCUUUUGUCAGUUUGAAUUUGCAAGAUAAACACUUGUCUUCUUUAUCCAAUAUCCUCAUGUCAUAUUGACAAGGGAUAAGUCAUUUAAUGUGAUUAGGUUUGACUAGUGUUCUAAAUAGCGGCUGCUUUGGCACAUAUAGCUGUUUUAAUGAGUAAAUGCUGCGUUAUGCUAUUCAAAACAUAAUAUAGUGAACUGAAAUCAUAGCGACAGAUAUGGCACCCAUAGUGGCCGCUAUAAUGGGACAAAAAGUGGGUCCAUUUUACACCUCAAUUUUUUAAGAUUCAAUAGGUCAGUUAAGUCCUAAAAUCACUAAAAUCUUAAAAAAUUGUCCUAAUAGAAGAAAUAAAGUAUUUGUUGGGUACAGGAGGAACUAUGCAAUCAUGUUUCUUAUGAGAAACAAAUGAGAUUUUAUUUGUGUGGGGAGAAAAGCAACAUGGCAACAUCACAAGUUUCUCUAUUGCCAUUAAGGACACCCUGGCUAUGAGGGAUCACUAUGCUUAGUAGAAACACUAGUUGGAAUAUAAAUGUAGAGAAUGGGGAGUGUUAUACUUCUAUAAUUGGAACUAAUAUGUUAUUUCUGUCAUGUUUAAAUACAAAUGCAGCUAGAAAUAUUAGCAUUUAAAUAAUUUAUUAUGAAUCCCGCUAUAGAUUCAUAGCGGUCACUAUAGUGCUUGCCAUCCGCUAUCUGCUUUGAUACCCCCCAAAUGCUAUGUGCCUACUAUUUGCUAUUUACAACCUUUGGUUUGACAAAGGAGUUUGGUUGAGGUCAGCUAGAUUGAUUUGUAAACCAUCUUAAAUUGCAUAAUUUGAUGUUACUCAGUCACCACCUGUAUAAUUAACCAAUUUUUUAACUGGAUUUGGUAGACAUAGCAGUCUAUUUGGUGCUAGAGUAUAAGAUUCUGAGGCAAUGAAAUUUACUGGAUUGGGCUUGAGGAGAAUGUCAGCUUAGAUCAUGAUGCUGUUGUCUAUUCAUGGUUUUAUACCAGUACUUAGGAUCAGGUGGUAGUUUGUCUUUCACAUGUAUUAUUGUGCUAGCUUGUCCAUUUCCACUGUCACUAAGCUUGGUGAGUAUAUCUUCUGAUGCACGCCUUUGAUGGUUUGUCCACUCACAAGGACUUGUGGAAAUAUUGAGCUGCUUAGCCUUCAACUUGUUGGUCAUGCAUGAAAAGUUGGUAUCAUUCUGAAAAUUUUUCACUUCGGAGUUCGGACAUACAUCCUCUUUGGACUGUACCUAGUAUUGCGCCCUGAAAUUUCAAAGCUGCUUUUAUGUGGAUCUUGAGUGUGUAAGCACUUGCUAUUUUGGUUGCAAACUCCUUUAUGUAGUGUUUGCUUUAAUCCAUGUAAGGUGAUGGCCAUUGCUGCACCAAAGGAGCAUUUUGCUUCAAUGCAUGUUUAAUGAAUUUUUCUGAAACACUAUUUUGUGCUGGUUAUUUUAUUGAUCUAAAGGUCUUAGGAUGGAGUAAUGAUUUUAUACAAGACAUUAUAUUUUAGCUGAACUUGUUAGCGAAAAUUCGAGACUCUUACUGGACCGCAAUUAGUAUCAUGACCUGAAAUGUCGAAGUUUCUUUUAUGUGGGAAUCUUGAGUGUGCGAGCACUUGCUAUUUCAGUUGCAAGAUUACUUUAUAUAGUAUUUGUUUUAAUCCAUGUAAGGUGAUUUCUGUUGCACAGGGUCUUUUAUGUAGUAUAUGGUUUAAUCCAAGUAAGGUGAUGGUCUUUACUGUCUCAAAGAGCAUUUUGCUUUGAUACACACUUAGGGGCAACUACACUUAGGUUGCAUGUAGUUGCAACUACACUGCAGUUGCAACUGCAUGUAAAUGCAAAUUCGGUGUUUGGUUUGAUGUAUUUAAUUUCAACUGCUGCAGUAGGAACUUGCUGCAGUAAGAACUGUAGGAGGAGGCCCAAAUGCAGUAGUUCGAACUACGCCCAAAUUGGCCGCAGUACCAACUGCAGCAGUUGGAGAGAGUAACUUUAUAUAAAAGGUAUGCUUACCUCCUCAAUAUUUUUUAAACAAAAAUUAUUCUUUUUUACAUUGGAGGUAAUCUCACCAUCAUAUAUAUAUAAAAUGAUAAAAUUUUAAAAAUUAUUUUUCAACUGCAUUCAACCAAACAAAUUAUUUAUACUUGCAGCGCUUUCUACUACAUCCAACCAAACAGGAUUCAUGUAGUUGUAACUGCUGUAUUUCCAACUGCAUGCAUCUCUAACUAUACUGCAUUUAUAAUUACAUCUAACCAAACGGCCCCUUAGUGAAUUUUGCUGAAACACUAUUCUUUGCUAGUCAUUUAAUUGGUCUAGCAGUCAUAGAAUGGAGUAAUGAUUUUAUCCAAGACCUCAGAUUUUAAGUGAACUUGCCAGGUUCGUUAUUACCCCAGCUUUGAUUGUUUGUGGCAGAUUAGUUGCUUGGGCUCCUUUAUUUACUCUAGUACAGACUCUUUUUUUUUUGUUUUUCUUUUUUUUUCUUUUUUUUCUUUUUAACACUACUACUGACAGGAAAGAAAAAUCCACUGCUAAUCAACAAUGUAUUACCUCUAUCUGCAAAUACAAACCUGAACUAUAUUUAUGCUAUUUAUUUCACCUAAUUAGGAUGCAUCAAUCUUGGAUAUAUUAUGAUUUGGAUUUUUAUUUAAGUAUUGAUGAGUAUUUAUUUGUAAUUUUUAUUGAACAAAACGAAUUGAGUUUACUUUGCUUAUAUCUCAAUUUCUACUUCGAGUUGUGACUUCACAUACUAUUACUACCUAUUGUACUAAAGAUGUUUGAUUUAAACAUAACUGUACCUUAUUGCGGCAAUUGAUUUCGUAGUAGGUUUCUUUCAACCUAUCGCUCAAAGUGCAAGCAUUACAAAAAAGUUCAACAUCUCUUGCUUCAGUUAUAAUGUAAAUAAAUUUAAUCCUUGACAAUACAUCUUUCUCUGCCUCUUAAUUAGCUUUACUUUCCUGUUCAUCUGUGUUACUAUUGGAUACAGAUUAAAUUUGUUUUUAUCCAAUCAAGUACCCAGCUUUAAAGUAGGAAUUUAUUAGACAUCUUGAGAUCACUAAUGGAUCAUAAGGUAAACAACUCUAUAAAAUCUGGAUAUUUGUAUCAAUUAGCAUAGUGUAGUUGAAUCUCACCUUAAAGCCUGACUGAUCCUCCUUAAUCAGGAAUUUCUAGUUUCUACGCAAAAGAAAUAUUUUGAAGGCAAUUUUGAAGUCGAAGACAUCUCGUCAAAGAAAAAUCUAAUCUUGACCUAGUUAAAGAGGAGCACCUGCUGGUCUAUCAUAUUGUACUACCUGCACCAGAAAAAGUAAUGUGAUGAAUCAAUAUUCACAACUACAUAACUAUUUGAAAAUUGUGAUUUAUGUUGAAGGAGAAAAUUUCGUUCUUCAGCUGUUAGAUUUGUUAAAAAAGAGAGAACAUGAAUUUGGUCUUCCAAAAAUUACAUCAUUAUUGUUGUUGAACUGCAGAAGCUAUUGAUGGCUUAAGUGGAGUUUCUGUUUAGUUCUCAACCUUCAAACUGAUAAGCUUUGAGUUCCUAAUCUUUCUGUUAUGUUCCUCAAUUAAAUUGGGUGGAAUAUCAAUAUAAUCGCCAAUUGUCACGUAAUAAACUUAUGUACUUCUUAUGUAACACAUACGUGGUCAUUUCCGUCCAUUUUGAUUGAAGAGCUAUUGGAAUGGAUAAGAUUGCUAUUAAAUUGAAAGAGGAGAUCCAAUUGUAGCAAUCGGAAAGUUGGGGACCAAACUCAUAGAGCUAGUAUCCCAAAAAAAUUUGGAUUGGCUUUUAUGUGUAUAUUAUAAGGAAACAACGAUCCCAAAAGAUAUGUCAGCAGACAUUGUGAUCAAUGAGAUCCGCUUUGUGAGGAAAACAUGUAAAUAAUUACUAAAUAAGAGAGUUCUAUCUAGCAUCAUCUGAUGUUCAACCUAGCUGUUUGAUUAGCUAGUCUAGUUUGGACCAAUUCGCACAAAUUAAUCUUAGCACGCGACACUACGACAAUAUUCUCGAGUUACUUUAAAUCAAACACAAUUUAGUUGGAAAUAACUACUUCCCAGAAACAGCCCAUAAACCAAAAUUUUGCGCGAUCACUUCACAAGAAACUGGAAAUGUCUGUGAUCCUUCUAGAAUACAUAUGCCUUUGUGCCUCUUUGGACUCCCAGGUGAAAUGGUACUCCCUUCUGUGAAGGACAAACUUUUUUGGCCAUUUCACAUAGCUCUUUGAUCUCUUAUUCCAACAAACGGCAGCACAGGCACCCACAUGCAUGUGUUAAUGACUACGGAUUCUAGCCCUUGUCUGCCUUGUGUAGAUGGAGUUUAGUUAGUGUGUAGGAGGUAUAUUGUGUGUGUAAUAGUGAAUUACUCGGUACUUCUUAUUGUAGGUGAAUAUAUGGGGGUUAAGCAUGAUACACAUAUUAUUAGUUCUUAAAACAGCAUGGUAAUGAACUUCAUAUAUAUAUAUAUAUAUAUAUCCUUAAUUCUCUUCUUCACUAUAAUACGUUUUAUAUGGGCUUUAUUGCUUUUUGGCCUUAGCUUGAAAGUUCGUAUCCUAGUUCUGCUAAGUAUUCUAUUAUAAAGUUCCAUGUUUUUAUGGUUCUACGAUCCUUUUAUCAACUUUCCUUUUCUUUAUUAACAUAUUGCUGUUUCCUGUUAUUUUAAUGUUUUAAUUACAUCUGACAUGAACUACUGAUAGAGCAGAGUAAGCCAAGGGCUUGUUCCAGCACCUUGGUCCAUGCAAUGUUGUGCUUUUUAUAAUGUUAUUUUGUUCUUUAAAUUUCAUUCCUAUUUUCUAAUAUCACUUAUCGUCCAUUAUAUUCUUCUGCUUUCAAGAUGCUAUAUUAGGUUUCCUUUCAAUCCUUUGGAAGGUCAACCUGAAUACAUAGAACAAUAUUACUCUUUUUAUGAACUUUGAUAUGCAAGUAAUGAAAACUCAGAAUUAGCACACAAUGAUAUUUGCCUUUUUUAGCACCUUAAUCUAGUUUUGAUGGGCAACAUCAAAACAUAGGUUAUUCGGUAUCUUUAAUUAUACUCAUUUUUUAUACUGCAACAUUAUAUACCGGCAACUGCUGAUAUUAUUUUAAUUUCUGAGCUGAACCAUGUUGUAGUUUAGAUUGUACAUCUGGUGGAAACCUGAAUAUUAUCUUCCCUUGGUAGUUGGUAUCUUCCCUUGGUAGUUGGCACCAGCAUACCGCGUAUGCAUAUGGUUAUGUGGUUUUACUUUAGGGCUGUAAGACCUUGUUGGCUGGCCCUAUCACCUUAGAUUACGCUUGAGAAUAUUUUAGCAGACCUGCAAACCUGAAAAAGCAUAACUCAAAGGAAGAAACAAAUAAAAAUUAGUCAUGCUUAGUAGUUCCUCCAUUUUUUUGUUGUGUAUACCUCCUAGUAUUAGUGAGAAUGCAUGCCUGUACUGUUUCUCACUAUGAUACAUAACAUAUUGUCGUAGUGACUUGACUAUGUGAGCCAAGACAUGAUGUGGAUGCAAAUCCACUUGUCUUUGCUCCCUUUUCUGCGGCUUCUAAAUAUCCAGUUUAUCAUAUAAAUAUUUACCUAUUGAAUUGGUUCUAUGCAUUUUGCGGGGAAGUAAUGCUUCAAGACAAAGCAUAAGAAUAUGCAUAUAUUAUAUUGUUUUUAGUAGUGAUAUUGGCAUUUUUAGGCCCUGUUUGGAUGCCUUAUUAUGUUAUACAGUGGAAAACAUCAGGUGAUUGGCGGACAUAUACAAAUACUUUACGGUGAAUAUCUGAGAACCGUGGUAGCAUGGUGGUAGGAUUUCCACCAGUUUUUAUAUUUCUGGAAUAUUUUGGGACAUCGAAUAUGCCUCCUUGCUGAUCUAUUAUAAUUUCAUCUUUAUGGCGUUCAAAGUUAAUAGCAUGCGUCUGAUGAUUAGUUUAGCUAAAACAGCAAGGGUCAUAGAGUAAUUAUAUAGUUGUUCAUUAUCGCAGAACUAUAUUUACCGUCAUCCCCUGGCACUUAAUUCAUGUUAUUCUUGCCUUGCCUGCUUGCUGAACUUGUUCAUUUGAACAGUAAAUUUAUGUUGCAAGUACCUGGAGGUAGUUUUUUUUGGCAGUUAUUUCAAUUGCUAGUACUAUAACACUUCUGCGCAUGGUGCAUGGCUGUUUCAUUGCUUGUGAAGUUAGCAGAAUAUACAAGACUAAGAACUACAUAUUUCAUUGCUCUGUGCUGCUUCAUUCUUGUUGAUUUACUUUUUUUGCUAAUUCAUUGUUUUACAUUGCCAGGUGUACUACAGCUGUCUUAGCAUGCCAUUAGUUGCUGUUACUAUUAUUGUAAUUUGAAUAAUAUUCUAGACGCACCUUGCUGUUUUUUUUUAUUUUGUCCAUAUUUCAUCAGGUUCUUUGUUCACGGGCUCACGGGCAUUGAAUCUAUGUAUCAUUCUUUGAUUUCCUCGAAGAAAAACUGAAAUCAAAUUUACUUGGUUAUUCAACAGUUUCUUAAAACUAAUCAUUUAGAAAAUGAAUUUUCUGAUUUAUGCUGGUACAUUUAUAAAUCAUCUCCUGUCAAUGUGGUAUUUUGCUGUACUAACAUGAUCAUUGCGCUGCCUUGUUUCAGUCGUUUCUUGCAAUGUAGAGGACCCUUUGCACAGCGAAGACAUCCUCUAGUGGAUGCCACAGUAGUUACUGAAAUAAGGAGGUGCCUAGAGGAGGGGAUCGAGUUCCAGGGUGAUGUGUUGAACUUCAGGAAAGAUGGAUCUCCCUUGAUGAACCGACUGCAGCUAAUUCCUAUAUAUGGUGAUGACGAAACUAUAACCCAUUUCAUGGGCAUUCAGUUCUUUUCUGACACAAAUGUCGAUCUGGGACCACUGCCUGGCUCUACGCUGAAGGAAUCCUUACGAUCUUCUACCCGCUUCACACUUGACAAUUCCUAUCGACCUAUCUCAUCAGGCCAUGCCCAUAUUUACCGUGAAUUCUGUGGCAUCUUUCAGCUCAGUGAUGAAGUUCUUUGUCAGAAGAUCUUAUCAAGGUUGUCUCCUAGAGAUAUCGCAUCCGUUGGUUCCGUGUGCAAGAGACUCUACCAUCUAACAAAGAAUGAGGACCUCUGGCGGAUGGUCUGUCAGAAUGCAUGGGGUAGCGAGACUACUCGUGCUUUAGAAUCUGUGCCGGGAGCGAAAAGGUUAGGUUGGGGGAGGCUCGCAAGAGAAUUAACCACCCUUGAAGCUGCAGCAUGGCGAAAACUAACUGUUGGGGGCGCAGUUGAGCCAUCACGAUGCAACUUCAGCGCAUGCGCUGUUGGCAACCGCGUUGUUCUCUUUGGUGGAGAAGGCGUGAACAUGCAACCGAUGAACGAUACCUUUGUGUUGGAUCUCAAUGCCAGCAAACCCGAGUGGAGGCAUGUGAAUGUGAGCUCUGCACCCCCUGGCCGGUGGGGGCACACAUUGUCCUGCUUAAAUGGUUCGUGGUUGGUAGUUUUUGGGGGGUGCGGACGUCAGGGCUUGCUGAACGAUGUUUUUAUAUUGGAUCUAGAUGCACAGCACCCCACGUGGCGGGAGAUCUCAGGGCUUGCGCCUCCUCUACCUCGAUCAUGGCACAGCUCCUGCACACUUGAUGGAACCAAGUUGGUUGUUUCUGGCGGCUGUGCCGAUUCUGGUGUGCUUCUAAGUGAUACUUAUCUAUUAGAUGUUACAAUGGAGAAACCUGUAUGGAGGGAGAUACCUGCAUCAUGGACUCCACCUUCUCGAUUGGGCCACUCGCUCUCCGUUUAUGAUGGGAGGAAGAUACUGAUGUUUGGUGGUUUAGCUAAGAGCGGCCCUCUACGGCUCCGGUCCAGCGAUGUUUUCACGAUGGAUCUAAGUGAAGAAGAGCCGUGUUGGAGGUGCAUCACUGGGAGUGGAAUGCCUGGUGCAGGGAAUCCUGCGGGGAUUGGCCCACCACCUCGGCUCGAUCAUGUGGCAGUGAGCCUUCCUGGAGGUAGAAUCUUGAUAUUUGGUGGGUCAGUGGCAGGCCUUCACUCUGCUUCGCAGCUCUAUCUCCUGGACCCAACCGAAGAAAAGCCAACAUGGAGGGUACUAAAUGUGCCCGGUCGGCCGCCCCGGUUUGCUUGGGGGCAUAGCACCUGUGUUGUCGGAGGAACAAGAGCAGUAGUUCUUGGGGGCCAAACUGGGGAAGAGUGGAUGUUAACUGAGCUGCACGAGUUAUCUCUCACAAGCUCGACAAUUUGAGUUGUAUUUGGCUGAACCUUACUGCCUUUUCCUGAGGUUUGUCCCAAAAGGCCUAUCAUGCCUCGACGUAAGUGGAGAUAUGGAGCAUCUCCAAUGGAAGAAGUAUGAUUGGUUAUCUGCAAAUGGCUAGAGUGAGAAGUGUUGGUAGGCUUCAGUAGGUUCUAGGCUCUUCACUCUCUGUGGCAUCUCUUCUGGGGGGCUCUUUCUUUUUCUUUUUCUUUUUCUUUUUCCUUUUUUUUUUUUCUUUUUUUUUUUUUUCUUCAGCCAUGGGUAGGAACACUCUUUAACUUUGUGCUUAUUUGUUGGAACUGGAUAUAGGGUACCGUUCUGGCAUGCAUAUAUGACUCUAUGCAUUCCCUACUUCUGGUAUGUAUUAAUGUUGUAGGAAGAAAGAUGAUUGUUCUGUAUAGUGAGUACUAAAAAUGCAUCUCUCAUCUGAUGUGUGCAUUUUUAUGUUGUGGGUGAGUUCUUUAUGAUUUUGGUUAAAUAGUUACAUGAGAAUUUUAUGUACAAACAUGUGUCUAACCAUAUGGGCUGUUUGGUUAAAAAAGGGCUUUUUUGGCAAACAGCCCUUUAGCAAAUUUUUAUUUUAAAAAUAGUUCUGUUAAAAUUUAAUUUGCAAAAAUAGCUCUGAUUCUGCCACGCAGAUGUCACGUCAGCGCAACGCAGGCAGGGCUGGGGCUAAUGUGUUAAGUUGAACACGGUGAACCGCUCACCGUGUCUAAACACGGUGAAUGGGUCUAAAUCUCCACCAAGCUCCACCUUGUAGGAGAGCCCUAGAUCUUUCAAAAGUUCAAAUCUCUUCCAAAUCUUCCUCUUAAUCUCUUUCUUUAACGUUGGGGGAGAGCUCAUAGAGAGAGAGAGGGAGAGAAAUGAGAGAGGAGGUGUUCACUGCUGUGAACAAGAGGGGAAGGGUUGGGGUAUAUUUAUAAGCUGCUACAAUUGCAACCAAGCCCUCUAUUUUCUUUUAUUUGCAGCAGACUCAACCUGCUGUUUCGCAGCCUGCAUACCGGUACGAGGGAGGGCAUCAUCGGUACGCCCCCUGUUCAACAGCCCAACCCGAGAGCUACUGUCUCUCGGGUUGCUGCAGGGUACCGGUACUACCAGGACAGUCGCCAGUUAAGCCGUCGCGCAGAGACCAAAUCCGAGAGUUGCCAGUUCUCGGUUUACUGCCUGGUACCGGUACGGCCUUGAUACUUCAUCGGUUAACAAUGCUCCAAACUACAGUUUUGCAUUGUUUCGACUUCAAUUCGCGUCGAGCAAUGCUAAAACCCUUUAAACUCACUUGGAACUCAACUUUAACCUUUCCAACAUUGUUGGAAUGUCAAAUGGACUUUGUCCAACUAUUUCUCUCGCACACUUUGAUUAAUUUGACUUAAGUUCGAUAUAUUCUACUGAAGUUUCGGUAUAUUAUAUGAUCUGUAUAGAGAGACUGCAUUUGUCGUCAGCGCCUAUGAUAAACAAUAUCAACCGGCCGAGGUGGAUCCUCUGGUAUUGGUGCUUGUGCUGUGUCCAUAACAUAAGGUGGCUCCUCUAUCGGUGAUGAUGGUCUUGGUGGGCUAUACAUUGGUGCAUGGCCCGACAUCAAUGGUCCACCAUCGUCUGCUGGUUGUGGAGGUACAGUGCGUGGAAGCGUAGGUAAAGUCUCCAAAACUGCUUCCAUCUGAUCGGCAACGUGUGAUAGGGCAUCUAAUACUCCACUUCCUAGAAUAUCUGGCAGGACACGUCUAAAUCAUACUAGAUGACGGACCUUCACUUUGAUUACGAGGGAUAGAAGUUCUCAUUUCCCAAUCGGUCCAUUUAUAAACACUAGAUGAUGGACCUUCAUUUUGAUUAGGAGGGAUAGUAGUUCUCGCUUCCCAAUCCGUCCAUUCACGAACACUAGAUGAUGGACCUUUACUUUAAUUAUGAGGGAUAGUAAACCUGCAAAGAUAUUUAAGAUUAACUAUUCGCAUUGGUCAAAUUUUCAUGUAACUAAAUCAUACAAUCACCUACCAUUCAUUUUGAGCAACCAACGGAGACGGAUCCAUCAUAGUAGAUGGCAAUGAUGCACUAACUGACACACAUGGGACUCUAAACUCUCUGUAAUACUUACAAGACGAAGUUAUUAAUUUCGUGCACCUAAACUAAUUGAGAAAUCACGAAAAACAUUUAUAAAGAUCAUUACUUUAUACCUUGAUAUACGAACUCAUUCGCGAUUGACAUAAGUCCUUUGAUAAUUGCUACUACGACGCAUUUCCGUAUAAUUAACGGUAUUUGGACAGUCGUGUGUAGUCGACACAUGUUUCUUCAUGAAUAAUUUUAUACAUCUAUAGAACAGAAAAAUACUCAUCAUGCCAGAUAGUGCAUUGUCACUUGAUACGUUAACUAAUUCUCAUUCGCCUCCCAUUGGACAUCGAACCGUGAUGCGUAGAUGGUUUUCCACUCGAUCAUAAUUAGUAACAUGGUAUAUUUCUAUCUCAAAUUUUCGAAAUGUGAUAUCGCGUCGGGCCGCAAUCAAUUCUUUACGGCCACCAAUAUAUCGUGGUACAUUAUUGUUCUCGACAAAAUUUUCGUCCUAAUGGAUAUAGAAAGAAACACAUUCGUCGGAUAUAGAGUUCUAAAGUAAUAUAAUAAAAUGUACAAAAAUAUUACACUCAUGACAUAGCACAUUUCUAACAUACAGCAAAGGAGAGGGUAAGAGAUGAAAUUACCAUUUUGCGAACACGGUCGGCAAGACUACUAUGCCGAUUAAGAGCUAAGGAGGGAAGGGGGUGAUGACAGAGAGAGUGACCUGUGAGAAAGACAGAGAGAACAAUCAGUGAGAGAGAGAGAGAGAGAGAGAGAGAGAGAGAGAGAGAGGGGUUUAGAUGCCUCUGUGAGGGGCGUGGUUGGGUUGCACAGUGAGAGGACUUUGUGAGGAGGGGUGUGGGUUGCANCUCUGUUGUUGAGCCUUGGGCGUACAGGGGAGGUGCUGUCCGUUCGGCAUCUGUUUGACAUGUUCGAAUCGACCAAAUUGGCUGGCAGCGGCGGGUCGUGACAUUGAUGUUCUAGGGUUAGAGAGAGCAAGAUGGGUGGGGAGGUGUUCUUGGCCGGAUGAGGGUGGCGCCGGCGUCGCUGGCGGUGGCGGGUGGGCCACAGAGAAAGAGAGAGAGAGAGAGGUGGGGGCUUCCAGGGCUAGAGAGAGAAUGAGGGUGGGGAAACACCUCGGGCGGCGGCGGCAGCGGUGUCGGCGUAGGCGUUGGCGUCAGCCAGAGAGAGAGAGUGAGAGGAAGAGAGAGAGAGAGAGAGAGAGAGAGAGAGAUCGAGCGAGAGAGUUGUGGGGAAGACAACUCGGGCAGGUAGGGUGUAUUACAAAAGGACAUGGUGAUUGAUUCACCGUGUCUAGACACGGUGAAUCAAUCACCACGACUGAACACGGUGAACUAUUCACCGUGUCUCGUGUAUUACCUAGACGUCUGGACUUAUGUGCAGUUGGACUUCCUUCAGUGCAAGUCGAAGGACUUACUAUAGUGUAGUUGGACACGGUGAACUAUUCACCGUGUUUAGACACGGUGAACCAUUCAUCGUGUUUAAACACGGUGAAUGGUUCACGGUGUUUAACUGUAAUACACUGAACUUGAGCAAAUUGCGAAGUUCGAGUGUGAGGAAUGAUAUGUGGAUCUACCCUACAUACUCUAAGGACUUGGACAAGUUUUUGUACAAGUUAGAGAGUGAUUGGAUGGCCAAAAGCAAGAAAGUGCAUUGAUCUGGAGAAAUCAGCAUUUUUUCUGCAUUGUGUACCGGUACAGCCAUCAUUGUGUACCGGUACACAGUGGCAGAAACGUGGCAGCAGGGUUAAUUUGGUAAUUUCACGCCUUAUGCUUAUCUUCUUGACCCCAGCUCGACUCAGGUACUUAGUGGAGGUUGCUGGAGCUCAGAGCAUGCUUCUUCCACCUUCUCCACUUUCUCUCUCUAGGGUUUUUCUCUCUCUACAUAGAAAUCAGAGAUUUAGCUCGUUUUCGUCGCCUCGCUUGUUCUUCACUGUUUGCGAGUGUUGCAGAGCUUACGUGGACGUACGAGAGAGUGUUUUGGAAGGCUUUUCGCAGCUCUGAACCGGUAGUUUACUGGUUGGAAGCUUGAGAAGGUAAUCGACUCAAUUAUUCCGUAAUCGAGGUUCUAUUAGUCGAUUAGUUUGUUGAUUUUGGAUUUUUAUUGUUCCAGCUAAGAGAAAAGAGGUUUUGCUGCUGUAACAGGGUCGGAUAUUAUAGCUUAGCUCAGUUGGGACUGAGUUUAUGAUCUAAGAAGGUAAACUACUUUUAUUCAUUGUUUGGGCACGAAUUCGACGAUGAAAGGGCUGAUUUUGGGAUCGUUGUUCGCAGCAGGUUUCCGAAUUAAAUUGAGUUUAAUUGGUGACCUUGGGGACUGGUUUAAAAAGUGUUCUAACCUGAGGUAAGCAGGAAUUUCAGUUGGAAAACUAAUUUCGCAAGAAUUCAGCCAUAAUAGCUUGUAUACAAGCAUAUUGAUGCCGUUUUGAUGUUGUUUGCAGCGAGAGUGCGAUCAAGCCUUGGAUCAUCUUUAGCUGACUUGUGAGGGCUCUUGGAGGCUUAACUUGAGGUAUUAAACUAGCCCAAAAUAGGGAUUCAAGCUAUUACUUUGUACUAAGUGCGAAUUAUGCCGAAAUUGGANUGAGGGCUCUUGGAGGCUUAACUUGAGGUAUUAAACUAGCCCAAAAUAGGGAUUCAAGCUAUUACUUUGUACUAAGUGCGAAUUAUGCCGAAAUUGGACAUUUCGGUUGUAGUAUUGAUGCGAUCUUCGUGCUUUGUUUUAGCAGGGUUGAGGCCUAGUGGAGCUGAUUUCGGGACUCUUGUGGACUGAAUUUGAGUCUAGUAAUAGGUGGGUUUGACCUAACCAGAGCAAGUGAAGCUCCCCUAUGUUCUAUAUGUUAUUAUAGAAUUAGUAUAGUUGUGUGCUUUUGUGGUUGAUAUAGGACUUGAAAUUCGUCACUAUACUAUAAUGUUUGAUACAUAAUUGAAAUGAAAUCUCUAUGAAGUAGAAAGCACCCAUGCAUUAAGUAUUUAUGUUUAUGUUUAAUUCAGUUGAAUCACUAAUGGACAAGUUAAUAUGUUCCUAUACAGAAGAGAGCACUGACAUUCUUUUGACUUUGUUGAUUAUAAAAUAGAGAACAAUGAUAUGCCUUGUGACUACAAUGAUAGUGCCAUGAUAGUGGAAAGCUUCUAAUGCCAUAUGUACAUUUAGCAUUACUCUCACAUGUUUACUGAUCUAGUGGAUACUAGCUAUUGUCAAUAUUCGUUAUAUUGAAAUUCCGAUCAAAGGAUCGAGAGUGAGAACAUUGCAAGUUAAAACGUGAUGAUUGAGACAUAUUGGACUAUGGACUUUGCUUGCUGUCACGCCCCGGGACCCAGCGGAAGCCCGCCCGGCGCGUGCCCAGACCCACCAUACGUCUAAAACAUAUAAGGCGUCUAAAAACAACGAUAAUUAAAGCAAUAAUAAAAGGUAUCUAGGAGUAUAAGAGCAUGAUAAAAGACUAAGUUCUAUAUCAAGGUAGGCAGUAAAACUGAAGUCCACUAAUAACAACAUAAAGUAGUACAAAGGAAAUCCCAAAUACAAAUGCUAAAAGUAAGUACAUAGGUGGUCUCUAUAUAUGGAUACAAAAUCCCUCACUCUCUCAACUACACGAAAAGAAAGAGUAAACCACCUAGGCAAAGAACCGCUCCUCGCUAGCUAGCUAUGCGAUCCCCUUGCCGCGAUCCCGUGCCUCCGCCGGUGCCGAAGGCUCUGAAAAGAAAACAUAGAAACAGGGGCGUGAGAACUAUUGAAUAAUAGUUUCCAGUGGGCAAUUACUGACUUCAGUGAAAUGCGCCACUAGGCCCAAACUACAACAAAAAGGGUCAGUGUACAAGUAUAAGCCAAAGCGGUAAGAACAACUAGGAAAUAAAUAUGAAUGCUAUUCCACCACAAUAUCUCUACUUAGCAUGGGUUGCAUAAGUAAGAAAACUAUUCUCAUAAGAAUGUACAUGAAGUAAAUGUCCACUACUAUCAUGAUGUCCACAAGCUAAAUAGUAAAAUGUCAGUGUUUACUAUUCUAGUCACUGUUCGCAUGUCACAACGUAUGCUCAAAGUCAAAUCUGAAGAGACCCACCCGAAGGCUGUCUAUGGCCCUGAGACCCAGGCUGUUUGGCCGGUGCCGAGCCUAAUGGCCCCGUGGUAGUCAUCAUUCCCACCCUAGGAAUGAGCCUGGCCCACGACAAUCCACUUCGGCGCCCAAUCCCGCACGGUGAAUAUGUAUCGCGAAUGACUAUCUCCGGAGUGCCGGUUUGUAGGGAGCCACCCUCACAAGCAUGUGCGAAUGAGCACAAUGGCAAGUAAUCAUACGAUCCAUCAUAAGUAACAAGUCCUCAUGUGUAAUACAUGAAAUAUGUCACAUAUCUCAUAGGCCUAUCUCUAUGUCAUCAUGUCUCUACAUGGAAUAUAGCAAAUGUACAAUGGCCUAACACUAUGUCUCUAUAUUGCAGUUUCAUAGUUUACUAGUGUUGGUGGCCGAAAGUCCCAGCCCUUGACCCGGUCAAGUAUUUCUCCUCGGGAAGGGCGUGGGGAUGAUGUGCGGCCGCGGAUGAUGACCCUCGAAGUUUGCGCCCACGACGGAUCAAGCGAUUCGGCCGAUGAGGGAUCGAACCAGUCGGGUUCAAAGUCCUCUGUAGUAAACUCUCUCCGGCAGGAUAAGCCGAAUGGAAGGGGAAAGCUCAGAAUUCGACUGAGAGAUGAGCCGAAUGGCUAAACAACUCGAGAUCUAAUCGACGGGAGGAGCCGAAGACGACUUUCUAUUGAAUAGCAAGAAUAGGGGAGAAAGUACAAGAACAGGGGAGUGAUGCCCAGAGGGCAGACAGACUCCAAGUACAAGAACAGGGAAGUGAUGCUCGGAGGGCAGACAGACUCCGAGUAUGCUAAGUUAAGAUAACUACUCCUACGGAAAGCGAUAAAUGCAAGAAUAGAAAGAUGCAGGAAAAUAAAGGUGGUCUCUUGUGCGCAGGGGCGAAGACCCCUCUUUCAGGGCGCCGUAUGCCUAUUUAUGGGGUUGCCCUUGCGUUUAGUUAUUGUUACUGCACGAUCGGCCAUUAUCUCCUAAUUUGUAGGACCACCUCCGGUCGAUUGGAACUGCUCAUAACGGCUUGCGGUUGCUACGCUUUUUGAACAGACGUGGCUCAUAUCUUCUGGCGCGUCUUCUAUACUCCCGGUCCACCAUUUUGACAUGGACCAUGGAUGUAGUCCCGGCUUGCCAGCUGACCGCGCCUAAUUGGCUCAACAAUUGCCUCCUCGCCAGUUUUCGAAGCGAUGCUUCGGUAGCUGGCGUUACCCUUUUCAUCUCAAACAACUUCCUAUUGCCGAAAGCGAGCUUGAUCCGAGGCGUAUUUCUCGGUCCAAUCAAAUUCAAAUUCUCUGACAUAAUCUGCACCACGAUCUUCUAUACGGUUUAAUCUAAGCCGUUCAUUUUUUCUUGACGGCUCCGAUCGUAUUCCCUACUUUUGUCUUAUGUGCAGCAUUAAUUAGGUUUUAAUUGCCGCCGUCUAUUCAUCAUUAUAGCCGACCUCGGGACUCGUAGUCGAUGCGAUAGUUCGAUACGACGGCCUUUUCUUCUUCCCCAAGCUUUUCAUUCUUUUGUCUCUUCUAAUUCUUAUUUCUUUUCCUCGUCUCCUUCACUAAGAUCUCUUUUCUGUCUCUUUACUUUUCGUAACCGAAUCUCUCGGCUCUUCUCUUCUUUUGAACAAUGUCUUUGGUUCCUCCUCUUCCUUCUCAUCCAUCUCUUGACUAUACUAUACUCAAACCUUUUGUUGACUCAGACCCCUCCAGAUUUAUUUUGGGUCCUUCUCUUACAGAGGUGCCAGCCCUUAUCAACUCGCCCUUUUCUAGCGACGGUCUUCCCCUGAAAAAAGCUAUUCAUCUUCAGUCUUGGUACUCUUCUGCUUCAACAGGGAAAAGUCUUCGAACUUGGCCAAGUAUUUCAGAAGCAUAUUUAACUUGGUUAGAUCGAGUAGAAGCCGCUUUUGGUGAUUUUUGGCGAGAGGUUGGGAUAUAUGAAGCUAUUCAAUUGUCUCGGCAUCCUCCUAUUGCCGAUAAUCUUCUUCUAGCCGCCGCUUUGUGUUUUUGGUCCCCCGCUUCUAAUAUUUUUCUUUUCAAAAGAGGACCUCUUACCCCUACUCUUUUUGAUGUAGCCGCCAUUACCGGCUUGCGCCCUCAUGGUGUUUCUGUUUCUCUGUCUUAUAAUCCUGACGGCGUAUCUGAAUUUGAGGAUCGUUUAGACCUCAAUGACUUGGCUUACUCCAAGUUCAUCUGCAAAUUCGCAGGUGAACCCCCUGCUCCCGUUACUAAGAACGAACAUACAACAUUUCUCCUUUAUUGGUUAUGUCAUAAUCUUUUCUGCACUCGUUCACAGAAAAUUAAUCGUGACUUUGUUCCAAUCGCCGUCGGUUUGUCUAACGGCGAUAGAUUAGCUCUAGGACCUUACUUUCUUGCCUUUGUCUAUAGAGAAAUUUUUGAUUCUCUCAAAAUAUUACCUUCCGGAGAUGGUAUUGUCAUUAGUUAUGGCUGCGGUGUCUUCUGGUUUCUUCAAAUGUUUUUACAAUUUUAUAUUCCUGCUUUGUGCCAGUCUCCUUUCAACUCGACUUCGGUUGCUCAAUUCGAUUCUUAUGGGUUAGCUCUCGGCUGUCCACAGCCGAUGACUCUGGGUCAACCCUAUGAUUUUCUUACUUAUUUUAAAACUUUUUAUGAGCCGAGUCCUGAAUCGGCUGUUUCUUGGGCUCCUUUCGCUGACCGUCUUACUGGUCCUUCUUGGUUUCUUGCCCGAUUUGAAGCCAUCCGGGAUGAAUUGGCCUCUUCUCGUGCUAGUGAAUACUUAGAAGUAUGGUAUUCCUAUUUGACUCCGAGGGAUCUUCAUGUGGGGUUGAAAUCGCGCUCCAAACUAUUACCAUGCACUGAAGCUUAUUCCCCCCAGUAUGUGGCCCGUCAGUUUGGGUUUGUUCAGCCGAUUCCCGCUCAAUCAAAAUUUUUUACAAUUAACACAGCCGAUCAUCGGCCCCCUACUAAAAGCAUAGCCGAAGCUGAUAAGAUUUCAGCUAUGGGAAACCGCCUUCGUCAAUUCUUUAAAUUGGUGAGCUUCAGGCCGAACUACACAGGAGUUGCUCUUGCUGGUUAUGCUACGGUUUGGGACCGUUUUACGGACAGUACCCUCGACCUUUCUCUUCUCCGGGCAUUCCGAAGAACUAUUCAUCCAACUGUUCCAGUUGAUCCUCCCGUCUCACCAAUAGAAGAAAUAGAAGAGGUUUCUGAGGUUAGACUUCUUUCUUUUGUAAUGUAUUCACUUCUUUCUUUUCAAUAUUCUAAAUUUUUUUUUUCGCAGUCAACUCCAACUUCUUCAUCGGUCCCAACUUCAAAUAAGAGACCGACUGAGACUGUACAAGUUACUCCUCUGCCGACUUCGAAACGGUGUAAAUCAGUUGCUAAACGGCAAUUUCGACAAGUCGAAGGUGCUCCUUCGGCUGAUAAUUUAGAAGACAAAGCCGAAGAUAUACCUUCGGCCUCAAUCCCAACAACAAGAACCAAAGACAUACCUUCGGCUAAUAUUCCAUUAGAGGAAACUGUUCUGCCUUCCUCAGCUACGGAACAAAGCUAUGUCCCGACCGAAACAAUUGAUAUCGGGGUACGUCAAGUUAGUUGUCAGUAAGCAGAUUUUAUAUUUCUUCAUCUAUUUAUCUUUUUCUUUUAAUUCGCUCACAGUCUUCUCCUGAAAGAGCUCAUUUUCCUCAUUUCUCAAGACGCAGAUGGAACGGCAGCUUCGCAGGGAAUCCCGUCUUGAGAAAAAGAGAGAGAUGGAAAAGAAGAAGAAAUCUGUUGAAACGGCAAGCACAACGCCGUUACCCAGUGAGGUCGCAUCACCUCGUUCUGCUCCUGUCCCAACACCAACUACAGGAGACGAACGAAUAAACAUACCUUUUGGGCAAUCUUCUAGAGAUGAAAGUGCUGUACCUCCCCGCUCGACCCAGGAAACUUCUUCUCCUAUUUCUGAUGACCCUCUAUCUGCAACUCUUCAUUCCUUUUUGAUUUCAAGCCCCAGUUCUACCGAGGGGGAUGAUUCUUCAACUGUUAUCAUUUCAUCGGACACCCGAAGCAAGUUCGAUGAAUGUCUUAAAAUAUAUGGCGCCGGUAUUCCUGGUUUGGCUCAAAAUCCAGAACAAUUUGAUCGGCUAUACGCCCUUUUACUUGAUUUAAUCGAUCAAACAGAUGUUACUCCCGGCAUAAAAUAUUUUGUGGCAACCUUAUCACUUCAACUUUCAUCUUUUUUGGCUCGGCAGCAAUCUUUAGGCGCCGAACUUGUAGCUAUAGAUCAACAUUUUUAUCGUGUUGAUCAUUUUAAGAAAAAUAUCCUUGAUAUAGCAGCUCCGAAUACUGAGGUGCAUCGAGAGGAUAAAGAAUUAGCUGAUCAAGAAUCGGCUCUGCAAAAGCGAAUCUUCACUCUUAAGGAAGAAUUAGCAGCAGCCGAAUCUACUCUGGCACAAACCUCCGAACGCCGACUUCAACUAAGAGAUUAAUUGAAGUCUAAAAAGGAAGAAGGGAUAAGGCUUAAAGAAGAGCUUUCGCAACUUUACAAAGUACAUCCUCUGAUGAAGCGCCGAAGGAAAGCUGCUGAAAUUGCCCAAGCCAAUCUCAUAGCCGAAUGGAACCAACUCAGAGAUUUAUUGUCUUGAUUCGGCUUGUAAUAUUCUAACUCUGACCUUGAUUGUGCUCCCACAUGGAUGGGUAAUAUUUCUUUAAAUAUUUUCCGUUGAUUAGUUUUUCACCUUCUGACCCAUCUCUGUUUUGCAAAUAAUACGCAUUCCCACUUGUGAUUCGGCUAAUCUGGAAUGGUCCUUCCCAGUUUGGAGACCAUUUCCCAUACACUCGGUCUUUCUGACCGACUGGAAAAACCAGCCGAAGUACUAAAUCACCAACGACAAAUGUUUUUAAUCGAACUUUCUUAUUAUAUGCACUACGUACUCGGCUUUGGUACGGUUGCAUAUUAUCUAAAGCUAUCAACCGAGUAUCUGUUAAUUCCUCUGCUUUGUCUUUCAUUAACUCGCUAUAUUCAUCAGCCGAAAGAUUUUUUUAUUUUUCUAUCCUUAAAGAAGGAACUGUUAUCUCGGCUUGGAUUACAGCCUCAUGGCCAUAAACUAAUUGGAAUUGUGUCAUCCCUGUUGCCGUUUUCAUUGAAGUUCGGCAUGCCCACAAUACUUCGGAAAGCUUUUCAUUCCAUUUUCUCGGAUACUUUCCGAUAUGUCGCUUCAUAAGGUUGAUGAUUAUUUUAUUUGCUGCUUCCACUUGUCCAUUCCCUUGUGCAUAAUAAGGCGAGGAAUGAAGCAACUUUAUCUUUUGAGACUCGAUGAACCGAACGAACUGCCCUCCUGUGAACAUUGUUCCUUGAUCGGUUGUGACUAUCUCGGGAAUUCCAAAGCGAUGAAUUAUAUGAUCUUCUACAAAAUCGGUAAUUUCUUUUUGAGUAACCAACCGAGUAGGUUUGGCUUCCACCCAUUUAGUAAAAUAAUCGAUGGCUACUAUCAGAAACUUGUGACCAACCGAGGAAUUCGGUUGAAUUUCUCCAAUUAAAUUCAUGGCCCAUCCUCGGAAAGGCCAUGGUUUAAUUAUGGCGUACAUCUCUGAGGCAGGAACCCUCUGUAUCGAACUAUGAAAUUGACAUUCUUGGCAACCCUUGGCAUACUCUAUGCAAUCUUGAUGCAUAGUCGGCCAAUAAUAUCCUAGGUGCCGAAUUGUCCAUCUUAACUUUUUUCCCGCUAGAUGGGUUCCAUAUAUUCCUUCAUGUGUUUCUCCGAUUACCAAUAGAGCUUCUUCAGGUCCUAAGCAUUUUAAUAGAACUUCUUCGGCUGUUCUUUUGUAAAUUUGACCAUCCAACAAACAAUAGCCGAGCGCUCUUCUUCGAAUAUUAUAAUCGACCCUUAUAUUAGGACCCUCCAAAUAUUUGAUCAAUGAUUUUCUCCAAUCUUUUUUCACUUCUAUAGGAGCUAUAAUUGGUUCUCGUAUAUGAACCGAAGGUAGUAAUCUCCUCUGUAUUACUAUUAGCUCUGACUUCGGCUCUUUGUAACCUGAAGCCGAUUGGGCCAAUUCAUUUGCCUUUUUAUUUUCCUGUCUGCUCGAAUGUUCAAAUUCGGCUUCUCCGAAAUUGCAUAAUAAUUCUAUUGUCUUCUUCAAAUAAUUUUGCAAAUUCGGAUUCUCACAUCGGUAGUCCCCGUUAACCUGCUUGAUUACUAACUGUGAAUCACCGAUGACUUUGAUUGAUUUUGCUUUCAAUUCUUGCAAUAUUUCAAGGCCGAUUAUCAAGGCCUCAUAUUCAGCUUGGUUGUUAGAACAACCGAAAUCUAGUUCAAAUGCAAAUUGACAAACAUAACCUUUAGGAGAUUGUAUCACUAUCCCUGCUCCUGCAGAUUCAGUUAUCUUUGAACCGUCAAAGUACAACACCCAAGGUUGGCAGCCGAUUAAAUUUUGUUUCGGCUCCUCGAUCUCUACACAUAGGUGGUCAGCUAGAAAAUCGGCUAUAGCCUGACCUUUAACAGCUUUGGCGGGAACAUAAUUAAGAGAAAACUCGGAUAAAGCUAAUAUCCACUUUUCGAUCCGCCCCCUUUAUACCGGCUUAGAUAACAUAUAUUUUACUAAAUCGGUUUUGCAUAUUACCGAUACUUCAGUCGACAAGAUAUAAUAUCUCAAUUUUGUGCAUGCAUAAUAUAAAGCCAAACAUAAUUUUUCUAUAGCCGAGUACCGUUUUUCUGUAUCUAACAGACGUCGGCUUAGGUAAUAAAUGGCCUGUUCUUCCUUCUCUUCAUUUUCUUGAGCCAACAAACAUCCCAAAUUUUUGUCUGCAGCCGAUAUGUACAACUUCAUCGGCUGAUUUGACUUUGGAGGUACCAGUACCGGAGGAUUUGAUAAAUAUCUUUUUAUAUUUUCAAACGCCUCUUGCUGUUUCUCCGUCCAAAUAAAUUCUUCUUUGUCUUUAAGCCGAAGUAAUGGAGUAAAAACCUCUAUUCUUCCGGCCAAGUUGGAUAUGAACCGCCGAAGAUAAUUAAUCUUUCCCAUCAAACUCUGUAAUUCUUUUUUGCUUUUUGGCGGCGAUAAUUCUAAUAUUGCUUUCGCCUUAUUUUUAUCAAUUUCGAUCCCUUUUUUAUGCACUAAAAAUCCUAAAAAGUUUCCUGCAGAAACUCCGAAAGCGCAUUUCAAAGGGUUCAUUUUUAAAUUAUAUUUUCUCAUUCUUUCAAAGGCGGCCUUAAAUCAACCCAAUGUUCGGCUUGUUACUUGGAUUUGAUAACUAUAUCAUCGAUAUAUACUUCCAAUAUUUUGCCGAUUAAGUCAUGAAAAAUAAACUUCAUUGCUCUUUGAUAAGUAGCUCCGGCAUUCUUUAAGCCGAACAACAUAACAACCCAUUCAAAGGUUCCAAUUGAAUCGGGGCAUCUAAAAGUCGUUUUAGCCACAUCUCCCUCAGCAAUAUAAAUUUGAUUAUAACCAGCAUGUCCAUCCAUAAAGGACAGAAUUUCAUUACCAGCAGCCGAAUCUACUAACAUAUCAGCUAUUGGCAUUGGAUACUCGUCUUUAGGUGUAGCUAAAUUCAAGUUCCUAAAAUCGAUACAGACUCUAAGUUUGCCAUUCUUUUUACGCACUGGAACUAUAUUAGACACCCAAUCAACAUAACGGGCCGCUCUAAUAAAUCCGGCCUUUAAAAGAUUUCCGAUUUCAUUUUUAAUUUGGAGUACAAUACUCGGCUCAAACCUACGAGCCGGUUGUUUAAAAGGCUUGAACCUUGUUUUGAUGGGCAACCGAUGCUCUACAAUCUCUCGGCUUAGAUCUGGCAUUUCUUCAUAAUGCCAGGCGAAGCAAUCCUUGUACUCCUUCAACAGCUUCUUCAAUUCUUCCUGUUGUUGAGCCGACAGCUUGGAACUUAUAAACGUCGGCCUGUUGUCUUCAUAAGACCCCAGGUUUACUUCUAUCAACAAAUCCUGGGUCUCCAGCUUUUUCUCGUCGGCUUUAAUAGACAAUUCUUCUAGUUUCAUUCCCGCUGUUUGCCUAUUCAUCUCAUAUGAUUUAUUGGUCUCCAUGACCGAUUUCGUCUGACCUUUUUCCUCAGCUUUAUGAACCGAGUCUUUUAUGACUUUCUAGGCCUUAUUGGCCGAAUUGUCAGGUGCCAAUACAUCGGCUUUGGCAGCCGAAUCAUUCUCAUAGCCGAUCUUGUUGAUCGGCUCAUCUUGUUGAGGCUUGUGCCAAGCCUCUAUUCCCGAUUUUUGGGACUCCAUUUUAACCAUCUUGGUGGCUCUUCAUUAGCCACCAUAGCAUUGAUAUCUUUAGAGAGAAUUAAUUGAAUCCCCUCAUCCGUUACUCUUACAAAUGAAAUCUGAUCUGGAUCGGCAUUGGCCCAAUUGGUGUGGCCGAUGUCCUCCAUGUUGACAUCUAUCAUUUGAGGCCGUCCCUCGGCCCGGAUUUCUUCUACCUUGUCUUCUAUCCACUGGAACAGUUUUCCGCGGAGUGUAGAGGGUACGCACUCAUUCGAGUGUAUCCAAUCUCGUCCUAAUAACAAAUUGUAGUGGCUAUCUGCAUCCACUACAAAAAACGCUGUUUUUAAAGUUUUUGAGCCUACCGUGAGUUCGGUGGUGAGCACUCCUCGAGCUUGUUGACCGUUUCCUGUGAAAUCGGUCAUGAUGGAAUCGGUGGGCUUCAAUUCAUUUUCAUCUUUGCCGAACUUCUUGAAAAAGGAAGUAGGCAUCACAUUGACCAUGGCGCCGCCGUCUACCAUAACUCGGCCUACCGGCCGGCCUUCUAUUAAAGCUUUUAUAAAGAGAGGCCCUAUGAACCUCGUCUGCAUGGCCGAUGGUUUUUCAAAAACCACUGCAUCGGCCUGUUGAACAUCCUCAAGCUGCAAUUGGGCUACUGUAAGCCCAUUUUUUUCUUCUUCUCUAAAUUCCUCGUACUCAACAAACUCUGCUUUGAAGGAUUGAGGUAGAGCGUACACCAUAUUCACCUCGGCCGGUGAUUCAUCAGCCGAUUUUCCUUUGAUUCUCUGUUUCUUCUCUUCUGACUCCUUGGCCGUUUCGGCUGAAGAGUCGCUCUCCAUACGGACCUCCCUCUCCUUAGGAGGCCAUCUUUCUCUCUUGAUCAUUAUCUCGAGGGAAGCUAUUUUAUCUUCUAACUCCCUCCUGGUCAUUUUUUCUUCUAACUAGGCCUCGGUUGGCCGUUCUAUUCUUGACUUCAAUUGAAGGGUAGGCGAUGAGCCGCCUGCCUCAUGGUCAUUUCUCAUUGGACGGAAAGGGUGUGGUCGCUCAUCAGGGCGUCUCCAUACAUUGAGCCUCAUCCCUUUCGCUUCUUCAUAAUUUUGUCUUGCUUCGGCUUGCAUCCUCUGCUGCCGACGCUUCUGAGUUUUUGUUAACAUCGGCCCCUGCCAUCUGGCCGAUGGUUUAACUUCGACUUCGUGCCAUUCAUCCACUGGCACGUUUGCUAGUACUUUUACCGUUCUUAAAUAAUUUUUUAGAAUUUCUCUUCUUUCCCAUGGUCUCGGCCAAGGCUGAAUGCCGAGUUCGUUGACUAGCCUUCGACUGAGGAAUUCUAUGUCUCCCUCGGUCAUUCCUUCAAAUUCCGGUUCUGGUCUCGGCCUGGCUUAUUGUUGCCAAUGUGGCCGAUAUCCAGGGAACCUUUGCUUGGAGCCGAAUGGUCUAUCCUGGUAGUCCCAUCGGCCAUGACGUUCUCCACGCCUGUUGUUGUAGUAAUCAUGCAGAAUCUUCUGCAUCAGCAUAUCUUUCUUACGUUGAACCGAAUCUACUUCCGGUUUAGUGUCAUUGGAAGCUUCGCCUGAGCCUCCUUCUUCUUGAUCCUCACCAUCAGGAAUGUCAUCCCAUUCCUCCGGGAAUGCCAUUAACUCGUUCCAUUCGUUGCCCCUUUUCUUGGCAUUCACAAUGGCUUCCCAGUCUUUCUUCGUCAUUUCGGCCUUGCAUCUUAUGCAGAGACGAAGAUACUUUUUGGCAUGGACCACGUUGUCUGCGGUCUCCUUGUCCAAAAUCUCUUUUCCCUUGACAUUCACCAUAUUAACCUGAAAUGGAAAUGAACUUCUGUUAAUUAUUUGAUUUUCGUCUUCUUGGUCGGCCAUUAUGAGCCGACCUUCUUCUAUUUCUUCUUGGAUCUGCCUUUUUGCAGUCGCUUUUCCUUUCCCUUUCAUGUUCACGGCGUUGACCUGUGAUGGAAAAGGAUUCUUAUCAAUUUUCAUAUCUUUAUUUUUGUAACAUACCACAUCCCUCGUAAGUCGUGCCGAGUUCCGUCAAAACGAGCGGAACGCGGAAUUGAACGAGUUACAGUGGACCCUAAGUGCAUUGGAGUUCAUAAAUGGAGCAAAAAGGGACCCGGAGAGCAAAUCUGGAAAAUCUGGCUAAGUCCCAGAUUUUGAGCUCUCGGGGACCGGUCCCUGAAGGAGAGACCGGUCCCCGUACGCGUAGCCUGCCAGGAAAUCCUGAGNUGCUAGGACGGGAGUAGUCCUAGGAUGGGUGACCCCCUGGGAAGUCGGGGCGUCACAAUUUUCUUGGUCGGCAAAGCUCAACCGACCCUCAUUUAUUUCUCUUUGAAUUUGCCUUUUAAAGGCAGUACAAUCACUAGUUUUAUGGCUCCAUGAAUGGUGCCAUUUGCAGUAUCUUCUGCGUUUCAGUUCUUCUACAGGAAGUAUAGUUUGGCCUUCCUGUAGUUUAAUUCGUCUAUCCAUUAAUAACCGAUCGAAAAUAAGAUCGGUCUUAGCUAUGUCAAAUGAAUAACUAAACGCUGAUAUUUGUGCUUUUGCUUCUCUUGACUUUGCAGGUUUUAGCAAAGCACAUUUGUAUGGUUGACUAUUUCUCACCAUCUCGGCAGCACAGAUUUCGGCUUCAUCAGCCGAAUCUUCUGCCUCCUCAGAUGAAUUCGGCUCUUCAUGAGCCGAGGAUUCUUCAAAGAAAGAAAUAUUUUUCUCUUUCCUUUUAUUCUGAUCUUUGUUUCGGCUCCAUCUAGGCCGAUCUUCAUUGUUCCCUUUUCGAAAUUGCUCGUACUGAGCAACUCGAACUCCCAAAUCAAAAAGAUUUGGAAAGAACUUAUCCUCAAAAUGAUCUUUAAUCUUAAAAUGCAUGCCGUUAAAUGCCAUUUGGCAAACUCUGAUUCCGGCAUCCUUACAAAGCAUCGGCUUCGGGCCGUCUUGACUCGGUUUAAAUAUUCAUCAACCGAUUCUCCUGACAACUCCGGCUCGGUUCUAUAAAAUUGCUCAUGAAAUUUACCUUCUAAUUCGUCCCAGUCUCGAACGAAAUUAGCAGGUAGACUUGUAUACCAAGUGAAGGCUGUCUUGGUCAGUGAAGUAUUGAAUAGCCUUAAUUUUAAAAAAGGAUCUGCCGCUGCCUCGCGGCAUUGGGCUGUAAAUCGAGCGACGUGUUCGACCGUAUUUUCGGUCUCAUCGCGAGAAAUUUGUCAAAUUUCGGCAUCUUCCAAUUUGCCGGAUAGGGGUGUUCUACAUCUAUAUUAGCAGGAUAUGGUGAUCUAAAUACAGGCCGCAUUGCCGGCCUUGUGCCCACUCCGAACGUAUUUCGGAUGGCCUCUUCUAUUUGCGCAUAUAUCUCAUUAUUAAUUCCCUGCACAGGGACUUGCGCUGGUACUGGGUUCGGUAGUUGUUGCGCACCGAGAUUUGGUACCAAGGGAUUAAACCCUUGUACAUUCAAAGCCUGCCCCCUAGCCCCUACAUUUUGGGGCUGGUAAGCUGCAACUGGAGGGGGUGGAGGUAACCCCCAAGCCACUUCCGGCUGUUGACCGGCAUUACCAACAGCCGGUCUAUAAGCUGCUUGAUACUGUGCCCCCGGGUAUUGGGGCUGCCCAACUACCGGUGUUACUGGGUUCUGUAACACUGGCGUUAUCACAGGCGCUUGUAGGCCUGUUAUCGGCUGUUCAUUCCGAGCUAACAAUUGCCCUAUUCGGGCUAUGUUCUCGUUAGAGGCCGUGAUUGCGGCCAAAACGGCAUCCAGCCGUGCAGUACUUGCAUGACUAUUUUGGUCCAACGUUUGUGGGACCCGAGUCAUUUGACUGAGCGCCUGGGUCAAACUAGGCUCCUGUUGGCCAGAUUGACCACUGGUUUCACCCUCAGCAGGUAAAACUGCCUGUCUCUCUACGGCAUUCUCCGAAGAAUUUAUGGGAAUGGCCUUGUUACAGAGAUUCAUGGCAUUAUCAUCGGCCAUAUUUUAUAUAAAAUGCAAAUUUACCUUAAAAGAAUGGUCCCACCGAGCGUGCUAAAAAAUUGUUGGUGGCCGAAAGUCCCGGCCCGACCCGGUCAAGUAUUUCUCCUCGGGAAGGGCGUCGGGAUGAUGUGCGGCCGCGGAUGAUGACCCUCGAAGUUUGCGCCCACGACGGAUCAAGCGAUUCGGCCGAUGAGGGAUCGAACCAGUCGGGUUCAAAGUCCUCUGCAGUAAACUCUCUUCGGCAGGAUGAGCCGAAUGGAAGAGGAAAGCCCAGAAUUCGAUUGAGAGAUGAGCCAAAUGGCUAAACAACUCGAGAUCUAAUCGGCGGGAGGAGCCGAAGACGACUUUCUAUUGAAUAGCAAGAACAGGGGAGAAAGUACAAGAACAGGGGAAUGAUGCUCGGAGGGCAGACAGACCCCAAGUACAAGAACAGGGGAGUGAUGCCCGGAGGGCAGACAGACUCCGAGUAUGCUAAGUUAAGAGAACUACUCCUACGGAAAGCGAUAAAUGCAAGAAUAGAAAGAUGCAGGAAAAUAAAGGUGGUCUCUUGUGCGUAGGGGCGAAGACCCCUCUUUCAGGGUGCCGUAUGCCUAUUUAUGGGGUUGCCCUUGCAUUUAGUUAUUGUCACUGCACGAUCGGCCAUUAUCUCCUAAUUUGUAGGACCACCUCCGGCCGAUUGGAACUGCUCAUAACCGCUUGCGGUUCCUACGCUUUUUGAACAGACGCGGCUCAUAUCUUCUGGCGUGUCUUCUAUACUCCCGGUCCACCAUUUUGACAUGGACCAUGAAUGUAGUCCUGGCUUGCCAGCUGUCCGUGCCUAAUUGGCUCAACAACUAGUUUCAAGUGCCUCUUUAUGACACUUUUGUUCAACAAGUCCAAGCAUGAUAAGUAUGUUUAUAAUGUAUAAUUCUAACCAUUUCCAUCAUACAAAAUGAUUUCCCAACUCGCAACAAGAACCACUCCCCUCUGCAUGCUACCAACACAUAUAGCUCUACUAUAUAGAGUGAAAAUUUUAUGAUACAUAAGGCAUGUAUGUUAAGUGUUCUAAAAUUCUUCUAAAUCAUAAAUAGCAUGGAUUUGCACUUAGAAAUACUUUACGACGAGUAUAGAAAGCAUAGGGGCCAUUUUGCCCCGUGUUCAUGAAGCCAAACCCACCGAUUUUUCGAACUCUUCAUUUCGCCGAACGAAGGUGUCCAUUAGCUUCCUAAUACCCUGAGGAUGUAGGAACAAGUGUUACCCAAACAAAACGAACAACGGAUUGCUCAAUCUUUAACCAUUUCGGAUUAGGGUUGAAGAAAACUCACUGAUUGCGAAGGAAGCUCUCUCGAUCUCCAAAUGGGAGUUAGAGUCCUUCCAAUCUAACCUAAACAAAGGUUCUAAACCCAUCAAUUAGGUUCCAAAGCCCUCAAAACGAAAAUCCCCAAAUCUAACCCUAAAAUCCUAAAUCUAGGAUUUCCAAGAGAGAACCUACCAAAACAUGCUCCAAAGGAGAGAUCAUGAGUACUCACCUCACAAGAUGUCCGAAACCAAGCUCCAAGUCCUCUAGGGUUGAAGGUUGAUCCUCAAUCAAGCUCCAACCAAAAUCUCAAGCUUCUCUAAUGGUGGAAAAUCCACAAAAAGCUAGAAGGAGAGGAAGAAAGAAAUCAAAACCUACUAAAAUCCAUCAAAAAUGGAAAUCAAACAAGGGGAGGAAGCCUCACCUUGUUUCUCCUCUGGUCUGAGCUCAAGAGAGCUCUCUAAGGGUGCUGGGGUGUUAUAUAAAGGUGUUGUAACAAUUGCAAAAACACCCCUUCACGAAACAGCCCAAACUGCACUGUGUACCGGUACACGGGAUUGUAUACCGGUACACAACCCACGAAUAGCCAAACCCGAGCCUCGGGUUCGCUGGAAAAUGUUCUGUGUACCGGUACGCGAGCCCGUACCGGUACUGCCAUCAACCCCGUACCGAUACAGCAAGCAAUCCCGUACCGGUACACGGUCUGUUGAUGACUACCCGAGAGCUGACCAAAAAUCCGACUUUUCGGGUUUUGGUGCCAAGCUAAAAACCUCCAUUCUCGGGACUCGAACCACGGGUCGGAACACAGUCAACGACCUUCCACAAAAUGUGGGAACGCUCGGAAUACAAACCAAACACUCGAACCUUGCAAUUUGCAAAGGUCUAGUGCGUCACACUUGCUUGCCAUCGUGCUCAUUCGCACACGCUUGUGAGGGUAGCUCCCUACAAGCCGGCACUCCGGAGUUGGCCUACGCGACAGUUGCUCGCCCGUGCGGGAUUGGGUUCCGAAGUGGAUUGCCGUGGGGAGUGUAUACUACCACAGGCCAUUAGGCGCGGCGCAAGCCGGACUACCUUGGGUAGGUCCUUAUGAAUGAAAUGUAAAUUGUAAAUUCUAAAUAACAGUAAUGAAUGAUUACCAGUUAUAGUGUACGGUAUUUACUUACAUGUUCAUGUUUAUGUUCUGACUUACAGUAGUUGCUAUGCUUUUCUUAUUCAGUUGAUUCAUUACAUGUUGCUUACAUGUUCAUUAUUUGUUAGUAUUGAAAAUAUAUCUUGCAAUUACUGCUUUUACUUUCAUUCAGUAUAUCAUGAGCCUAGUGGUGUAAUUCACCGAGGCUGGCGGCUUACCCAUUGGGAACUAUUGUUAAUAGUUCUCACGCUCUUUUUAUGGUUGUUUUUACAGAGCCAUCUACAGGAGAGGCUAGGGACCGUGGCAAGGGAGUCGCGUCUAGCUAGAUACUGCUAGGGGCUUGCUAGUUGAUCACCUUACUACUCGGGCUACGGCCGAGGGUGAUGUCCCUGUGUAUAGAGAGACUGCCAUUGUACAUGUUUUUUUGAGUAGCCUUGGAUGUAUAUGAGUUUUUAAAACCAGAGAUUAUAGUUUUCUUACUUCUCUUUGAUGUUGAGAUUUUGGGUUGUAUACUCGUUUUUCUGUUGAUGAUAUUAUCGACUUGUACUUUGCUCUGAUAUCAGGAUAGAAUUUUCUAUGUAUCCUUCCUAUCAAUUUGCUCCUUUGUAAACGCCUUAUAUACUGCAGGUGUAUAGCGGGUCUGUGCACGUACCGGAUAUGCUUUCGCUGGUACUCGGGCGUGACAUUAACUUAACGUACUGGCCCUAGCCCUGCCGGCGUGGCGCUGACGUGGCGCCUACGUGGCAGGGCCAGGGCCAUUUUUGCAAAUUCAAUUUUGACAGGGCUAUUUUUAAAAUAAAAAUUUUUCAGGGGGCUAAAUGCAAAAAAAACCCGUUAAAAAACGUGACAGAGCCUACAUGUGGGCCGGUCUGUUUUGGUAAAGUGUCUUGUAGAUCAUUUGACUGAUUUUAUUGUUGUGUGGCAGGCUAUAAAAGUUGUUUGCAGAUAAAAUGCUGAACUAUCUUAAACCAGAAUACCGAGAUCAUCUGGAUACUCGUUGUUAGAAUUUUAUAAGAAAAUAUAAUUAUGAAGUCUGAAAGGAAGAAGGAGCAGCAAAGGGCUUUUUUUGCAUUUAGCCCUCUCAAAAUUUUUCUCAGAAUUUUUUUUUUUUUCACAAAUAGUCUCACAAAAUUUAUAUUUGCAAGAUUGGUCCUAUCUACGCCACGCAAGCACCACGUGCACGUGGCAGUUUAGAUUAAGUUGAACACGAUGAACCAUUCACCGUGUCUAAACACGAGGUUUAAGAUUUAGAAAGGACACGGUGAACUAUUUACCGUGUCCAACAAGGUGAAUGUUUCACCGUAUUCAACUUAACCUCCACCGGCAUCGACGCUCGUGUGGUACUUGCGUGGAUAGAACCAAUCUUUCAAAUAUAAAUUUUAUUGGGCAAUUUGUAGAAAAAAAUUUCUAAGAAGGCUAAAUGCAAAAAAGCCCAGAAGCAAAUUAUGGUAAAAGAAAAUGACUUUAAAAGUAUAGAUUUAGUUGUUUAUGCAUUUUAAUAAAGCCUCGUCCUCAUGCUCCAACCAGUGAUACCAUUAAUCGUUCGACAUUACACUAAUCAGCACGGGUUCCUAAAUCAUUUGACAUAACUUUAGUCAACAAGAAUCGCAAAUUAGUGGUCAUAUUUAGCAAAUCUCUCUAUGUUGCUUUUCUAUUUUUUUUUAUGUUCUUUCCUUUUGUGUUGCUUUUGUAUUUCUUUUAUGUUCUUUCGUUAAAGAUAUUAUUGGUUAGAGUAAAGCACGUAAAAUAUUAUUUUUAGAAAGUGACGUCUUAUCGAUUGGUUAGUUUGCAAAAGUAGAUAUGAAAGCAUUUUAUAAAAAUGGACUUGACAAAAUGAGUUAUAAUUAAUUUUUUUUCUUAAUUUCAGCAGAAAAAGAAAUUCCAAAAAAAUCGAAAGUGGAGAGCUUAUCAAAAUGGUUAUAUUUAAUCUUAAUUUAAUCAUUCAAUUUAUUGUUAAAGUUAAAUUUCAAUUUAAAUUUGAAUUUUAAAUUAAAUUUAAAUUGAAAUCAUGAAUUUAUUUUCACAUUCUAAAUUUUAUUUGUAAAUUCAAAUUCAAGAAAAAUUUUGAAAUUCAAAAUUGUGAAUUUAUAUUUAUCUAUAAGUUUUAAAUUAAAAUUUUAUAAACUUGAAUUCUAGUUUUAAAUUUGAAAUUAAAAUUUUAGUUUAAAUAUUUAAAUUAAAUUAAAUUUGAUUGAAAUCAUGAAUUUGUUUUCACAUUUUAAAUUUUAUUUGUAAAUUGGAAUACAACAUAAAAUUUUGGAAUUCAAAUUUGUAAAUUUAUAUUUAAAAAUAGUUUUCAAUUAAAUUUUUAUUUAAAUUUGAAUUCUAGCUAUAAAUUAAAAAUAACAUUUAAUUUUAAAUAUUUAAAUUUAAACUUUAAUCAAAUUGUUUUUAGCUUGGAGCUUCAACUUGAACUUUGCAUUCUAUAAAUGUUCCAAAUUUUUAUUUCAAAUCAUUUACUAAAACUUACAUUCAUUUAAAAUUUUAGGUUGAUACUCAAAUUUGAUUGUAAGUUUGCAAUUUUGAAUUCAAUUUCAAUAAUGAGUUUCAGUUUGAACUUUGAAUUCAAAUUCUAAAUUGAAUUGUUCAAUUUGAAUCACGACUUUAAACUCUAACUUUACUCUACAUUUCAUUUUAAAUUCAAAUUGUAAAUUCAUAUUUGAAUUCAAAAUUUAAAAUCAAAUAAUAGGUUAAAAUUUGAUUAAAAUUCUGAAUUCAAAUUAUUCAUGUAAAUUUUAAUUAAUAUUUUAAUUUUUAAGUUGGAAUUUGAUUUUAAAAUUUAGUUCUAGUUAUGAAUUGUAACUUAAACUUAAAUUUUAAUUAUAAAUUCAACUCACAUUUAAGUUUAAAUUAAAAAUUUCAAAUUAAUUUUUAAUUCUAAAUAUAAAUUUGUAUAUAAAAUUUUAAUUGAAAUUAGGAGCAUAAGUCACUUCUUUAUAUUUUGGAGAUCAAAAGUACCUUAUUGUAUAUCACGGGCCUUGAAUAUGGGUAAAAUAAGGCUUUAGUUAUAAUACUAGUGAAGGUGCCCGCGCAUUGCUGCGGAUCGAUUUUGUAGAAAUAAAUAAUAAAUAAUAAAUAAAACUAAUAAAAAAUGGUAAAAGAAAGAGUCAAAAAUGUAAGGACUGAAAUUUUGACAGUGUAGCUAAACUCUCUGUUGAGGAUGUUUUUGUGUGUAAUUUAAUUACAUGAGCACUCGUCAAGUUUCAGGAGAAAAUGAGUUAAGAUGGAGAAGUUACGCGACCAGAACCGAUGACUUAAAGUGAAUAGUAACUCCGAUUUUUCGGAAAGGCCAAUGCGUGAAGUAGGCUUCUGGCGCGUAUCGGACUCCGUUCAUAGCGAUCCAAUAGCUCGUUUUGAACGGUUCUGCUAUUCUGGAGCUAAUGGCGCUGAUAGAUUUUGAGUUUGAUGCACGAAUUUUGAGAAAAUCUGAAAAUACAUGUUUCUUAUGUAACUGUGUGUCAUUUUGGCCUUUCGGAGAGAGAUCGAAUUUCGUCGCGAAUCCAUGACCGAUCGAAAUGAAACGAAAUCGUGAACUUGUUGUCUCCAUCGUGCUGAUCGCACUGUACGAUCCGUUCACAAAUCUGACGGACGGAUCUGCGAAGAUCGCGUGUUGAUCGAGGAGAGGUCGGUGAGGGCAAAACAGUAUUUUCGCAAAAAAGUCGCGACAUUUUAUGUACUGUUUCACGUGAGAUCUCACGUGGAGGGGUAUUUGCGUGUUUUACACACGCUGUGAGGAACUCGGAAUAAAAUUUGGGAUUUUGAGGGUCUUUUCUGCAAAAUUGCACCUUAUAUGUAUAGUGUAGUCUAGGGUUUGCCCAUUGGAAACCCUAACCCUAGCCUUGCCGUAGCCCCCAGCCACUCCAUCUACCUUCCUUGCCCUUUCUGCACGUACCCCGGCCGCCGGCGCGCGUCUCCGGCCACCGGAGCUAGCGGUUUUGGCUUUCCUCUCCAUCUAUCUCUCCCUCUCUCUCCCUUUCUCUCGGGUUAGAGCCUGGCCGAGGCUGCAUUGCCUCUUGGUCCGUCGCCGGCGUCGCCCCGACCUCGUCGCAGUCUCCCCCGCCGGCCACCGCCGCCCCGAGCGCCGCUGCUGCCACCUUGACCGACCGCGGCCGCCCAGACCUGCUCGGGCUGAGCCGAGCUUCAGAGCUUAGCCUCCGCACCGCCGCCCCUUGGACCACCUCUGCCGCCUUCUCCGAAGCCUCGGCAACUCUCCCCGUCGGACGUUACCGCCCCAGCGAGUUGCCGCCGCCGCCGCGCGCCUUGGGCGCCAUCGUCCCAGCCUGCAGAUCGAGCCAAGCUCAGGCGGCCACACACGAGCCGUGGGCCGCCGCCGCUGCCGCCCGUCGCCUCCUUCCUCCUUCUACGGCCUCUGGAAACCCACCGCCGACGCCCCUGACCUGCCCCAGCCGCCGCUGGGGCCGCAGCUGCUCUGGAACCUGAGCUGGAUCUCAUGCGGGCUUGGUUGGUUCCACCGUCGCCGCCGCCGUUUCCAACCGCCAUCCGAGGUGAGCCUCGUAUUCCUCACCUCCCCCGCACCCAUCCCUGGCCCCCCCGCGCGCCGAGGUGCCGCCGGAAGCCAGCCGGAGCAAACUUGCUCCGGCCAAGCCCGAAAUAGGGCUUAUUUUGGAUGGGUUACUGUUCCGAGCUUUCGGAGCCUCCCCGAUCUCUACGGAAGGGAGCACGAUGAUCGUAGCAAAUUUCUGAUCAUCGUGCUCACCUUGGUUUAUGUCGGAAAUGCCCCGUUCCGCUGUUUCGGCGAUGUCGACCCUGUAGAGCCUUUUUGGCUACUGUUUCUGGUUUGCGUGCAUUGUUUCGACGAUCCGAGGCUAUUCCGAUGCCUCCGGAGGUGAGCACGGUGAUCGUUGAUCAAUGCUGAUCACAGUGCUCACCUUACAUUUGGUAUCAGAGCCGGUUCACCAGCUGGACAUGUGUGGCGAGUCUUGGCUGAGCCAAGAUCUGGAUGACGGGCUAGCGAGACGAGUCUCACAUCGCCUGGUGAUCUUGGGCUGUGUGUGUGAUUGGACUGACAAGGACGUCAGGGCCUUAACGGGGGGAGUCUGUGAUACCCCAAUAGUCCCACAUCGGAUGGGAAAGGGGUUGUCAUUGGGUUUAUAAGAGACUUAGACACUAGUAAUAAUAACUGGGCUUAAGCAUUUUGGGCCGGUGGUUGGGCCCAACGAGUUAUUGUUGCUAGUGGGCUGGGUCGUUACAAGAAAAAUAAAAAAAUAUAAUAAAAGAAAUUGAAGAAGAAGCAGCAAUGGUUGCUUUAAAAGUAUAAAAAUAAAAAUAUAAGGAUGGUAAAAAAAGUAUAAGGAAAAAACUAUAAGAAUAAUAAAAUAGUAUUUAUAGUAGCACCAAAAGUGGAGGAUUACAACCUCAUACGGCUCAUAGUACGACCAGAAAUUACAACUGAUUAAAAUUUGCGGACUAAAACAUCAUGUGUCUCAUAGUUUGAGCAAGAAAAUAUAACGCAUUAAAAUUAGAGGAUUAAAAUGUCACUCAUCUUAUAAUUUGGUAUAAAGUGUGUAAUCUAUCUUUUUUAUAUUUUAAUUUUAUUCCAGACGACAAAGUUUAAUGUUGAUUGAUUUUGUUUAAUUAGUAAUGUUAUUUAAGAAAAGAAUAUAUUAAACUAUUUAAUAAAUAUAAGAAUAUCUAAUUGUUAAAAUUAAAAGUCGACUAAAAAUAUUUUGGAUAUUUCAAAAAAUUUUAAAUAUGAAAUUGAUUAUUCAUCAGAAUAUAAAUAUGGCAUUGAAGUUUAAAAUUAAAAUCAAAAUAAAAAUGUAUAAUUUUUUUUUGAAUUAUAAAUCAUUUUGAAUCUGCUAUCUAACCUUUUAAAAGUUUGUUUUUAUUAUCCAACCUUUCUACAUGUUAGAUUUCUCAAUAAUAUUUUGACUUUAAAAUCUGAAUGUAUCGUUUGGCUUUACAGUUUUAGUUAAUAUAUUUCAUGUAAUUUUUGCAACUAAAUUUAUUAAAAUAAAUACUAAUUUAAACUCUAUUAAUCUCUCUAUUUGUUUUUAAUUGUAUGAUUUAUAUCUAAGUGAUCAAUAUUAUAAGAUCAAAAUUUAUGUUUAAUACAUAUAAUUUAAAUUAUUUAAAAUUUUGAUUAAAUUAAAAAUCUCAGUAUAAAUUAUUGAAAAGAAAAUAAUUAAAAAUAAAAUUAAAAAAACUAGCCAGCCCCAACCCCAUAUGGCUGGGCCUCCGCCUUCCGCACUCUUGCUUACCACGUGGCAAAAUAGAACUGUAAUUUUAAAUUAAAAGAAGUAGAAAUUAAAUUACAUAAGUAUAAAAAUAAAAAANGUAUAAAUUAUUGAAAAGAAAAUAAUUAAAAAUAAAAUUAAAAAAACUAGCCAGCCCCAACCCCAUAUGGCUGGGCCUCCGCCUUCCGCACUCUUGCUUACCACGUGGCAAAAUAGAACUGUAAUUUUAAAUUAAAAGAAGUAGAAAUUAAAUUACAUAAGUAUAAAAAUAAAAAAGGCCAAUUUGCAUAAACAAUCCACUAGUUUUGCUCUUUUGCAAAACUGGGCCACCUUUUUCGAUUUUGUAGAUUCGGACCGAUUUUUUAGUAAACUGACCAAAAUACCCUUAUACCUUUUCGCUCUCCUCUUUUUUUUCUCGCGUUCGUUUUUUUCCUCUCCCCAGGAGCGCGUCUGCUUCCCCCCCGCGGGCAUGGCCACCUACGCCAACCUCGCCGAGAUGUACGUCGGCGACGACGUGUCCCUAGUCUUCUAUGCCUGGGUCUUUCCUAAGUGCGACCACGUCGCCAUCUGCACCGGCACCGACACCGCCAAGCCCGCCAUCCGCUGCCUCCAGGCCGCCGCCCGCGCCCAGGCCGCGCCCAAGCUCGCCGGCGGCGUCGUCGUCUGCGUCGAGGCCCACCCCAUCCUCGAGCGGAGGUGCUGUUGGCCCUAUCGGCGUGGACGACGACGUCAACAGCGAGGGUGGAGGAGACCGGACCGACGCUGGCGUAGGAGGAGCUGGAGGGGAUGUAGUGGGGGAGGUAGGGGUAGAGAGUCAAUUGGAUUUUUUUUUUUUUUUUUUUUUUUUUUUUUUUUUUUUGGGUGCAGCGUUGGUUUGGGGGUUUGUUAGGGAUUUCCUCCCCAAAUUUGCACUAUUUUUGGUGCAAUUUUAGACGAAAUGGUGCAAUUUUGGGCGAAAUUUGUACCAUUUCUCCUCCUCCUCCUCCUCCUCUUCCUUCUUCCUCUCUACUCCGUAUGCCGGCGGCACACUUGGGCCGGCUCGACUAUGACCAGUCCGGCAUGCUUGGCGUUCGGAUGGCCCUCAUGGUGGUCGCCGAGAAUGACAACUGCGCGGCUGCUGCGGGCUUUUUGGACGUCGGCUUCAUGCUCAGUUUCCACUGGAUUGACGUCACGUUGCUCCGUCCCGCGCAACGGCUCGUGGCCGCUGCAGUACGACGUGCAGGCGGAACCGGUCCCGCUCGACGCCAUGCAUGCCAUGGACGCCGACACCAUGCAGGCGGUGGAUGCCACGAAGGAGGAAGAGGAGGAAGAAAAAGAGAAAAAGUGUAAUUUUUUUUAAAACAGUAUAAUAUUUGUCAAAAGAGUGCAACUUUUGCUUCAAAAAGUAUAAUUUUUAUUUCAAAGAGUCAACGUUCAUCUUAAACAUUGCAAUUUUUUUGUGAAACAGUGCAACUUAAUUUUAAUAGUGCAACAUUCAUCUUGUUCUUCCAUUUUCUCUGAUUUUUGGCCUCUCGCUGCCGCGGUCCGAGGCGGAUGGGGACAAUGUGCCUCCGUGUAAGGACUGAGAUUUUUGCAGUGUAGACUCUCUGUUGAUGAUGUUUAUAUGUGUAAUUUAAUUACAUAAGCACUCGUCAAGUUUCAGGAGAAACUGAGCUAAAACGGAGAAGUUACGCGAUUAUUAGUUUUCACUUAAAGUGAAUAGUAACUCGUUUUUCCGGAGAAGCCGCGGUGAGAAGUUGGCUUCUGGCUCGUACCGGACUCUGUUCAUAGCAGUCCAAUAGCUCGUUUCGACCGGUUCAGCUAUUCUGGAACUAAUGGCGCUGACGGAUUUUGGUUUUGACGCACGGAUUUCGAGAAAAUCCAAAAAUACAUGUUUUAUAUGUAUUUUUGUGUAUGUUUCCUUCUAUUCGAAGAAGGUUGGAUUUUGUCGUGAAUCCGUGGUCGAUCAAGACGAAACGAAAUCGCAGCUUUGUUGUCUCCGUCGUGCUGAUCGCACUGGUGCAAUCCGUUCGCAAAUCUGACAGACGGAUCUGCGGAGAUCACGCGUUGAUCGAGGAGAGGUCGGUAGUGGCAAAACGGUAUUUUCGCAAAAAACGCGAUAUUUUAUGUACCGUUUUGCGUGGGAUCGCACGUGGAGGGGUGUUCGCGCGUUUUACACGCACUGUGAAGGACUCAGUUAUAAAUACUGAGGUUUGGUGGACNCAGGUUAUUCGGUUUAGUUUCUACCCUUACUGUCCUGUUGAUAUAGUUUAGAUAGUUUAUAUGGUUCAGUUAGCUGAUCUUUAUGAUUGUUUGAAUGUUGGUGAUCUGGUUUUGGUGGAUCUGGGGAUGCUUUCGUUAUUUAUGCAUGUAAACUGAGAUUUGUGGAUUUGGAUAUUGAUUUUAUGGAUAUCGGAUUUUCUUGUAUUUACAUAUCGUGGUUUUCUACCCCUCGAGGUAGUCGGUUUUCAAAAUAGAGUUUCCGUGUGGAAAACAGUUUUCAAAAGGUUUUCAAAUGGUUUUUCAUGAUGAAUGAAUUAGAGUUCAAAAACAAAAGCUUCCGUGUGGGGAGCACUUUUAAAUAGGAUGUUUGUUGUAUUGUGCAUUACAUCAUCCAGCGCCUAAGGAGUGCUUAGAGGCAUGCAUCAUUCUAAGGAUUGUUAGCUGUAUGAAAAUGCAUAUCAUGCUUUGGUUGUUGAUUGGUAAAUGUAGAUUGUGGUUGUGAUCCUGUUGUAUCGUUGGUACGCCGUGCAAAUACAAAGGAGACUCUGUCCGAGUGGACAGAAGAACUUUGUAUUUGUGGCGGGUCUGUACGUCACGUGGGCCAGGUUGGAAAAAAAAAAAAAAUGGCACGUUUUCCGCAACUCUGUUUUAAAAAGGCUUUUAAAAUCGGCCCCGGGGCGUGACACUCCGCUGCCGUCGAGGGGCCCGUCGGUAGACAGCCCGAGGCUAAACGCGACGGGGAAGGUUGUGUUCCAGAGUCUGGAGCAGAGCUUGAGCAGCCCUAGCACCUUCAACGGGGGGUCGCAGGUGAAUUUGAGGAGGGGCUUCUUCUUCUCUCAGUCUCAGGAAAAAAAAAUCUUAAAAAAAAUCUUCUGAGAAGGGGGGCGGCGGCGCGAGGGGCGCUUGACGGCGAAGAGAAAAAAAAAAAGAAAAAGGGUCGCAGCGCGGCCUCGGCGGGGUCGGAGGCGAGGAGGGCGGGGCGUGCGCGUGCAGGGCGAGUGCGUGAGGGGCAGAGGUGGAGGGGCCGUUUCCGCCUUCGCCGACUUCUUCGGUGAGAAAAAAAAAUCGCGAGAAAAAAAAGAAGAGAGAAAAAAAGUAUAAGGAAAGUAUAAGGGUAUUUUGGUCAGUUUCUAGAAAUCCGGCCUGAAUCUGCAAAAUCGAAAAAAGUGGCCUAAUUUUGCAAAAACGCAAAACUAGUGGAUUUUUUAUGCAAAUUGGCCAAAUAAAAAAGUAAAAAAUAGAACUGUAGUUAAUUCCGUAAAAAUAAAUAAAUAAAAUUGAAACAAAGUAAAAAAUAAAAAAAAUCAAAGAAUAAAAAGAAUACAAAUAAAAAAACAGAAGAAUAAGUAUAAAAAUAAAAAUAUAACAAUAAUUAAAAAAAUAUAAAAAUAGCAAAUUAUAUUUGUAGCAGCAGUAAAAGUUGAAGAUUAAAAUAUCAUUAUAUACUUUAUAAUUCGAGCCAAAAUUGCAACUAAUAAAAGUUUGAAAACUAAAGAAUUACGUACUUCAUACUUUAAGUAAUAAAACGUAAUAUAUUAAAAUUCGAGGACCAUAGUCUCACGGAUCUUAUAAGUUGAAAACGUGUUAUUAUUCAAUUAGUAAUUUAAUCGAGAAAAAGCUAUAUUAAAUUAUCUACAAAUUUUAGAAUAUCUAAUUGUUAAGAUUAAAAAUCGACCUAUCAUAUUUUGGAUAUUCCUAAAAAUUUCAAAUAUAACAUUGAUUGCUCAUCAGACUAUAAAUAUGAUAUUAAAGUUUGAUAUUAAAAUUAAAAUAAAUUGUAUAGAACUUUUCUAAACUAUAAAUCAUUUUGAAUAAUCUAUCCGACCUUUCAAAAUCUUAUUUUUACUAUUCAAUCAUUCUAUAUGUUAGAUUUAAAGCAAUCAAUAAUAUUUGGCUUUAAAAUUUGAAUACGUCGUUUAGCUUACAGAUUUACUUUAUAAACUUCAUAUAAUUCUCGCAACUAAAUUUAUAAAAAUAAAUAAUUAACUUAAACCAUAAUCUCUCUUUUAUUUUUUUAUUGUACAAUCUAUAUUUAAGUUGCGAGAAUUAUUAAUAUUAUAAUUCUCGCAACUAAAAUUAUAAAACUAAAAUUAUAUUUAAUAUAUUCAAUAUAAAUUAUUUAAAAUUCAUGUAUAAAAAAUUAUAUAUUUUAAAAUUUUGUAAUGAGUAAGAAGAAUUAGAUUAAAUUUAUAAAAGACCCCAAUCUCCCGUGACUAUAUGGAUGAGAAAAAAGAAAAAAAAAAUUAAAAUAAAAAAGUUAAAAAAAUGGCCCAUCCCUUACGGCUGGGGCCCACGCCCAGCCCCAACCCCCACCCCCACCCCACUCCUCUCUCGGCCACGUCGCUGUGGACUGGGAAUUCAUUAUAUACAAUAGACAAUAGAUUUUGGAGAACAAAACCCUUUUCUUUUGAGCGCCUACAUGAGUUCAGGGGCAUUUAAAUUGUCCGGAAUUCAUGUAGCUGAUAGAAAUAAGAAGAAUUGGCUGAUAAAAAAAGGAUAAAAAAAUGAGGGAUAAAUUAGAUUUUUGGUCCUCAAACUAUAAGGCGUAUGAUACUUUAGUUCUUAAAUUUUAAUUUAUUAUAAUUUAUGGCUCGAACUAUGAGACAUAUGAUACUUUUAGCCAUCAAACUUUAAUUUAUUAUAAUUUUUGAUUCGAACUAUGAAACGUGUGAUACUUUUAGCCUUCAAAUUUUAAUUAAUUGUAAUUUCUAGCUUGAAAUAUGAGGUACGUGACAUCUUAGCUCUAGACUUCCUAAUUUGUGGAAAUAUCUAAAGGUGUCUGUAGACUUGGUCGGGUCUAGGGUAGUUGAUAUGUGGUACUCGGGCCCUAAAAAGAAAUGGGUAGCUAAAAAAAUAUAGAUACCCUACUCAUUCAAUUUUAGGUCGGGUGCGGAUUUGGGUACUCAAGUUACUAAUAUAUUAAUUGGUUUUAUUUGAGCAGAUCUGAGUAGUGACUACUCGCAUACUACCCACUUAACAGUAGGUAAGAGUCGGAUCUAGAUCAAAUACGAGUACCCAUAUGCAUACACCUUUAUAGACUUUAUUAAACAGUCAAUGUACAAACCAUAAAUCUUUCACUAUAGAAAACUUAUGUUCUAAUGAGUUACACUGAACAAUAAAAUUCGUUCAAAAAAAAAAACAAAAUAUUCCAAUAAAAAAAGGCACAUCACUUUCCAUAAGCACAAGAGCCAUGAAGAAGUUAUCAUACUCCAUAAAAAGUGCAAAAUGAUACGAACAAGCUGAAUAUACUAAGAUAUCUUGAGUGGAUAUGAACCAUAUACUACUUAUAAUGCACAUGGGUCUAAAACACAUGCACUUACCAUAAUGCAAUAUGAACCGUAUACCACAACAAUACACGUUGGACCAAAACUGCAUGCAUCUAGUAUUAUUAUAUAGUUAAAAUACAUACAUAAUUAGUCUGAAACAGAUUGGCUAGGGUUUCACUAGGAUAAAAACAUACAUAAACUCCUCAUCUAUAAGUGUAUUGAAAUUAAUCCCUCAAGUUCAAAUCUUUUUUAUUUACUAUCGUGUAGUUUAUUGGGUUCAGGUUCAGGUUCGGAUUUGAAAACUAUUCCAGACCCUAACUAUUAAAAGGUCGAGUUCUGAUUGGGUCCAAGUCGGGUAUGGAUAUAAAAUAUUCGGACACAUAUCCAAAAUUUUAGUGGGUAAAUUCUUUUACCUGUGUACUAUUAUUUUUUUAUCGCGUCUGGUUCGGGUCCGAGUAGGGUCCUGGUAGGAACCGGGUAGGAUAUGAAGUAUCAGAUAUUUGGACAGCUUUAGACAUAUCCUACUUGUUGAUGCAACGGUAAUUAAAAUGCUAUACUAUUUCGACAUUAGUAAUCAUCAAUACUUAUUUAAAAAUUAGGUUGUAAGACUUGAUUAUAAUACUUUAGAAAGUUCAAGGACUAAACUGUCAGUCGAUCUAGAAAUUGUAAAUAAUUAGAGUUUGAGAACUAAAAUGCACGCCUCAUAGUUUGAGCUAGAAACUGCAAGGGAUGGAAGUCAGAGAACUAAAGUGUCACGCUCGUCAUAGUUUGAGGACUGAAAGUAUGAUUUACCAAACGGUGAACAAUAUAAACAGUGGAACAGAUUAUUAGAAACUAAAGUUGUAAGAAGGUUCCUAAAAACUUUUCUAAAUGCAAUUUAUUGGAGUGAUUAGAUGAGGAUAUUGCAAAGUCAUAUACUCAACGUGCACAACUUCAGUCCUGCGCCAACGAGAAAUACAAAGAGGUAGAGAGCAUUCAGAAAUGUAAAAGGCGAAUAAUAGCAUCAUCAAAUGGCACAAAAAAAGAGUCCAAAUAGAAAAAAUGAAAAUCAGGAAAAGUUUUAGCUCAAAAACAACAAAGCAAAAAGGAUUUGAGGAAACAGAAGGCCUCACAUUUAUUCCACAGGAUGUGGGGGACUAAUUGCGGGGUUUGCAAGUCACCCACAAAUAUAUCAUUUAUGGUCCCGAUGUGAGCACAUGUAACACCCAUACUUGAAUUUCUUUAUUUUGGUCCUUUUUCAAUUGAAUUUUGGACCUUUUCGUAAAUAUCAAUUGUUGAAGGACUCGGCAUCAUAUUAUCACUACAAGAAAAUGAUUUAUAAGUGACAGUAAAACAUUGUCACUAAAAAUAACAAAUUUGUCACUAAUAGUUUUAGUGACGAUAAAUAUGGUCACUAUAAGUUGUCACGGUAGGUCUUGUGGCAAAUAAAUUUUGCCAUGGAAAAAAAAAUAUUGUCACUAAAGACAAUAUUUAUGACAAGUUAAUUUUGUCACUGAAUGUUACCUAUUUGUCACCAAUAAUAUUUAUAAAAUGGUUGAACAUAAAAAAUAUUAAUAUUAGGUGACAAUAUAUGUCGUCACUAAUAGUUAGUGAGUGACAUCACUAUCCGUCACUAAAUAUUGCAUUUAUGACGAUGAUUAUUCACUACACACUAAUAUUUAGUGAUAAUAAAGUUUGUCACAAAAUAUUAUAUUUAUAAUGAUAAUAUUCAUCACCAAUAUAUUUGUCACCAUUAUUUGUCACUAUAUUAUCGGUCAUAAAACCAACUAGUUUCAAACAACCAACUGAAAUUAUAAUAAAAGCAAAUUAACGAAAUUUUUAAAUUCUAAUAACGAAAAGACAUUAAUAUUCUCACAUUCGUCAUACAAAAUACCUCCCAAUAUCUCCAAUUUUUUAAGUACAUGACAAAUAGUCUUCAAAUUCAAACUAAAUGAUUCAAUCUAAAAUAAGUACAUUUGAUUAUAUGGUCCACAUCCAAAAAAAUGAUUGUCGAAUACUAAUACUAUGUAGAAAUUGCACCACUCAUCCUUACCUGCAAUGAAUUAAAAACAAAUAUAAUUAGACAAAAUUAAAAUCUGAAAGAAAGAUAAAAUAAAAAAAAUAUUGAUGUUAAGAAUAAGUAUGAUCUAAGUGGAGCUCCAUUCUUUUUCUCAACGUAUGCUCUUUUCUCAUCUUCUAAUAAUUUCUAAUUUAAUUUAACAAAAUAAAGCUAGAGACUAACUGAAAAAUAAAGCAGCUUUGUUCGGUACCCAAUAUUGCUACUGUAACUUUUAAUAAAAACCAAUUAUAUAAAAUCAAAUACACGUUUAUAACUUUUGGUCAUUUGAUAAUUCAAAACAAACUUCUUUACUCGUUUGUUAUGAAUCACUUUUGAAUUCUGAAUAUUUACAACAACAUUUCAUAUUAGGUAGCCGAAUACGAUUUGUAACAAAGCAGCUUUGUUCGGAAUUCAAACUUUAAUCUUAACAAACAGCUUCUAACAAAAUCAGUGUUUGAAUCAAAACUCAACCCGAAACAGACUUGUAUAGGUUCACAAUGAACAGCUAAUUAGAGCGAUUACAGAUGAACAUGCACUGGUUACGGUGGGUGAGAAAAUGAUAGUGCAGCGUAGUACAAUAAUAGUAUAAGUCGUUAAGACAGGCAAACUUUAAUAGUCCUAAUCACAUGUUAAUGAACGAAAGAGCACCAAUUAACAACUUAUAACCAAUAGAGCCACUAAGUUUACCAAACAUUUCAACUAAACAAACUAGAACAAUUCAAUAAUGCCAAUUUCAAAAUUGCCUACAGUCUAUGGGCCUUUGUACACUGUAACCUGAAAUAGAAAAGGUUUGAAGUAUACAAGAGAGACAACACCAGAACACUGCAAGAAAACUGGGCAUUGAUAACAAAUUUUAAACAACAACAGCGGUUGACAGUUGAGCUACAAAUACUAUACCAAUUUAGGUUAUGUAUAUUAGGGGUCCUGUCAGCUAAACAAAAGACCUGUAAAAAGUUAAAAGAGUUACUAAAUCAGGAAAAGGACUCGGAAGAAUGGACAAAAAUAGCAAGAAAUUUUCUGAGAGGACAAAAGACUAUUAGAACUAGCAGUGUAAAGCUGAUAUAUCAAAACCAAGCACAAAAUUCGAAAAUAAAAGCAACAGCAGGUCCGCAACAAUAACGAAUCCUUUAGUUAUAGCUAAUGGCAACUAACAGAAUAUGGUUCCUCAAAAUGAAUGGACGUAAUCUACAUUUGGAGAGAUUUUAUACGUUUAAAUACAGCUUUCUAAUUAAUAAUAUCUGAUAUAAGUGAAAGAAAACGUCAUUAUAAAUUAAGAAUAAAGCAAAAAACAAAUAACAUUCAGCAAAAUAAUUAGCAUAUGCGCUCAUCAAAUUCACCUAAAAACAGAUGUCUAGAAUGACAAAUGAAACUAGCAGGAUAAGAUUCAACAAAUAACCAGAAUAUAUGCGCAUCAAUACAACUCAAAAAUAGAUGUCUAGAAUGACAAAUUAAACUUGUAGGACAGUAAAAGAAGAUUCAACAAUUUAACAAUAAUAUGGGAACAAACGGCACCGGCUAAAAGGUAACUAAUGUACGGCAUAGUUUGAUGACUAUAUGGCAAAAAGUACAAGCAGUUGCUUGGUAUCAACAAAUUGCAUUACAUACUUCAAGAAUUACAAUCCAUGCUGAUGUAGUAGUAACACUUGUUCUUUGCCCGUAGUUCUAAUACAUCUUAACAGAUUUAAUGGACUACAGUCCUACAUUGUACUUUUUAAGCGCUUUAGUUUUCAUCAAUAUAAACAUACUUGUUUAGUUUCCUCCUCUUACAAUUCACUAAUUUUUUCCCUGAUAGAAUGUGUACACUGAUCCAGAUAAGAUUGUGAUCAAUUGUUCAAACUUGAUUUCAUAUGAUCCACAAUUUGAGAAUCCACAUCUAUUUACAACUGGCUUUGAUUUUGGGGGUUGAAUUGAUUUCUCCAUAAAGAUAAACAAGAAUAAAGAUUCUGCAAAAAAUGGAUGCUUAUCCAACUUAAGGAUACAAUAUUAGGAACUUCAAGUUGAGGAGCAUCAUGGAAAUUAGCAUUUGCCGGGUAGCGACGCAAUAGAAAUUUUGUAGAGGUAUAUGUGAGAAAAGAACAAAGAUCGCAGAGAAUCAUUUUCUUUUCCUUUUUUUUAUUCAAGUGUUGGCAUAUUUUCUUUUCUUAACGUUUUAUAUAGUAGAACCUAAUGAUAUUUAGAAAUAAAUAUGAUUCAAUGACUAAUUAUCCUGUUUCUGCAACUAAAUAUCUAUUGAUGAAGUCAGAUGAUGAUUAUAUCAUGGUUCAUAUGGUUGAUUAUAUUUUCUGACAAACAAAGCUAGAACAAUUGUACAAGUUAGUGUAUUUGUAUAUAAUCCAGGUAUUUUGAUUGUCCUUACUAUGUCUAGCAGUCCCAAUUCAAAGGCUAGCUCCAUAAAGGUAAUACAUGUGUAAAAUACACUAUAGAAGCUUUCUUAAAUUUUUAAAGGCCUGUAAUCAUUUAAAAAUUUAAGCAAGUUCAAAUUUGUUCUUCCUUCCAAAUCUAUGAAUUCUUUCUCAUGUAGCACAUCUCGUUGACCACAUUAAUUGCAACAAAAAAGGCAAAAGAGCAUUGCAAGUGCAACCAAUAAGCAAGGAACAGAAUUUGAUCGGUACAGGCAAGUAAUCUGGAAUAAAUAUGAUGUAUUCACACACGAAAUAAAGAUAAAACACAACUAAAGAAGGUUGACAAACAAAAAACAACUUACCAAGAAUAGCAAUGACUGUCCUAGAGUCUGUAAAAUAAGACCAAGAAGUUAGAAGAAAUUAUCUAGUCUUACCAGAAUUAGAAUUUACAUAAUGAAUAUAAAUAGAAGUAAAAACCGAUAUAUACUUGUAAAAAAUGUGAGUGUAUUUAAACAAAAAUUAAUUGAAUAUCAGUAUAAAGUAUGAACAGGAACAAAAGUCAAACAAUUUACUUGGUGCAAUCUAUGUUCUUCCAGCACCAAUUGUUAUGUGAGUCGGUAACUUUAAUGCCUUUGCUCUCUCCUGCCGGAAAAUUAGAAGCUUAAUAAUUCUAUAACAUGGAAUCUUAGGGAUUUUGUACUUCAAAAUGUAACUUUUAGACUGAAAAAAGGAUGAAGGAAAUGCUAAGUUCGUAGAUCAAAUCAAAUUUGACAUAAACCUGUCAAAAAUAGAAUUUCACCCGAAGAAGGAAAUGAUGAAGGAAAAAAGAAAUAUGUGUACUUAAACAUUAGAAGAUUCCAAAAUAGCUCUUGAAAAGUGACAGGCUUUUGAUACUAAACUAAAAUGAUUCUAAUAUAGAGCAUCUUACCAACCUCUCAAAGGUAGCAUAAGAUUUCAUUUAACAUCACUCAAAUACUCUAUCGUAAUCAUUUUGUAAAAAUUACAUGCUUUUACUAAUGAACUGAAAAUGUUUACAACAUGAGUAUUUCUUUUCUUUUUUUUUUUUUUUACAACAUGAGUAUUUCAAUGAUGACAAAUAUAAUACCAUUCUACCUAUUUGAUUAAUUAGCAUUAGCCACAAUCAUGUCCUUUCUAUUCAUUUCUAGAAUCAAGUAUGUUCAACAGAUCCACCAAAUUGCCAUUCUCGUGCUCUAAAUGUUCCGAAGUGAAAGCUAAGAAGAUUUCUUAAUAGGUGCAACUUGGAGAAAGAGGACUCCAAAUAUGUCUACGGAUUUUUGCAUAUAGCGUACUAGUGUGGCACAUAUAAGCUAUAUAUGCUCUCUUUUUUACUUUUCUCUAUCCUCUUCUGAUCACUUACAAUACAAAUAUCAGUUCAUAUGCAACAAACAGAUUAGUAACCAUACUUGUAAAACAAGCAUUUCUUCCUCGCUUUCUAUUUUAACCACCGCCUUAACUUGCCCACACAUCUCCCACCUGUAAAGUGAAAAACUAUACAGAGUGAGCAGAACAUAGUAAAUUCAAAUGCUCCGAAAGACAACAAAUUUUUUUCAUAUGAAAAUGAAAAAUUGCACGAGAAAAAAAAAAUUCAGAGACUCGUAGAACACACUCAUUAGGUAAAGUAGCCAAGCUACCUUCUCAAUGAUUUCGGCGCCCUCUGGUGGAAUUUCUUAUACAAAACCAGUAUUGCAUGGCUGGCCCAAAACACAUAACAAAAUUACAAAAAUUAUAAGGCAUUCAUCAGAUAUUUGGAUGAAACCACUUUAAAAAAAAAAAUCCAAUUGAACAGUAAUCUACCACAUAACAUAUGAAUCAUCAAAAGACAUCAAAAUAACAGCCCAAUUAAUACCUGAGGAUCAUGAGAACCUCAACCAAGGCCAAUCAACAAAACCCCCGUAAAAUUCAGUAUAUUAUUUUCAAUUUCACAGAAACCCUAGAAACUAAUCACAAAUUAAGCUCAUCAGCUAAUUAUAUAUAUAUAUAUAUAUAAAACAACAACAACACAAGUCACGUCAAUUCUAAAAUAAACCAAUCAAUUGAAAGAGAGAAAACCCCAAAUACUUAUAGAUCCCGAGAUCGGGGGUAUCAUCCGAGGAACUCGAGGAGCUGAUGCUUGAAGCCGAAGUCGAGCCCCACGCGGACCUGCUGUAAGAUACCGGACUUCUAAAAUCAUGAAGUUACGGUGUACAUGAGGUUAGAAAGCCAUUUGAAUGGUUCCGGUGAAGUUCGGCGAAGUUCGGGAGCAUUCGGGCGUUUCAGUGCGCGUAGGCGCGGAAACGGAACUCGAAAGGCUAUGUUGGGCCGUGAGCUAAAUCCGGCAUUAGCGUGGGUAAGAAUAUGAUGAAAACAUGCUCGAAACCAUAUUUGGAGAGUCUCGGUUCGAUUUGAAGUGAAUCGAAGGUCAAACGAGCGAAAACGGACGAAAACGAGCGAAAAUGCUGAAAAUUUGGCUAAGUCCUUGAGGCUGGCUGGAAUGCAUACGGGGACGGGUCCCUCAGCCAGGGACCGGUCUCUCAGGGACCGGUCCCUCGUCCAAGGACCGGUCCCCGUAGCCCGAAAAUGCCCAGUUCGGGCUGUUGCAAGAGAGGCAUUGUUGAGGGACUUAUAUGCAAUUGUUGCAUGGGUUGAGUGUAUAGAGUGGAUGAAGACCUCUCUCUCUCUCUCUCUCUCCCUUACCGUUUCAUCCUCAAAUCCCUCCCUCUCUCUCUCUAAACGAAAGAAGAAGAAGAGAAGAAGAAGAGGAAGGAGAAAGAAGAGAAGAAAAAAAACAAGGAGAAGAAGAUCAAGAAGGAGAUCUUCAUCCUCUCCCUCGUCUUCCUCGUGCUUGGAGCAAGCUUGGAGAGGUAAGCUUUGUUACCCUCUCAUGAUAGAUCCUUAGAUAUGGGGUUUUGAUCUCUAGAAAUGGUUUAAUUGGAUUCCUAGCAAGCUUAAUAGAUGUUUAAUGCUUGAAUCUAGAGUUCGAAUGGUGGAUUUCGCCGUAGUGCAAACCUAGGGCUCCAAAAUGGCGUUUUGAUGUAUAUGAGGGUUUGAUCUCUUUUAACCCUCUGUAAACCUAAUUGGUAGGUAACAAAACACGUUGGGGAAGACAGUUCGGCAAUCCGACGAGCCGUUACAAAGAUAUUGAAGAAACGGACGCUUGGAGCUUCGUUUCCGCCUGGAGGGCCGCGGCGACGUCCAUAAAUCGUGAAAUCGGAUCCCGAGCACCGUAGCAGCAAGGCGAAGACCGUUAGCACUUGAGACGGUGAAGCGGCUCGCUCUUGGAGAGCAACUGUGAGAUCGGGCCCAAACGGGUGCCGAGUGCCGCGGGAGGCCGAUUGCAAGUGUCGACGAGCAAUCGGAACGCGUGUUAAGGUGGGUUGUGCUUACCAAAGCGACUAGGUCGCCUUUAUGUCUAAGAAAGACUAAGAAUCCAUGUUGAUGCAUAUAGAUGUAAAUGAAGCAUGAAAAUGAUACAUAUUAAUGUAAAUGCCAAGUAGAAAUGCAUAAUGAUAAGAUGCAAGUUACAUAAGGCUAGAUGAUGCAUGUUAUAGAAUGAUGCAAGUAGCUAAACGAUGCAUGAUAAUAAUGAUAGGAUGUAAAUGCUAAGUAGAUGCAUAUAACAGAUUAUAUAUGUAUGCGAAUAAGAAUGAAAUGCAUGUUGAUAACUCUUGAAUGAGUAGAAUGCUUAAUUGGACAACUAGCUUGUGAAUAGAUCGAGUGGCAUCUAACUUAGUGUUAAAGAACAUAGGUCAUGAGUAGACCUAGAAUCAAAUAGAUCGAGUGGCAUCCAACCUAGUGUUAAUAAAUAUAGGUCGGACAUAGUGAUGUGGAACCUAGUGUCCGUGAACAUAGGUUGAACUAGUAAACCCAGAGUUUUAUAACCCAGGCUGUGGAAUAGUAAACCUAGAGUGGCAUUGAACCUAGGUUGUUUAGUGGUAGCGACCACUAGGAUAUUUUAGGUCGACAGCAUAGGGUUGGCUAUGGACCCUCGACCUGUGGAAGUGGAUUCCGGAAUCCCAGGACUUGUGCUAUGCUAACCUUGGUAUCAAGGCUAGGGCGUGUGCGACGAUUUCGCCGCCGAGGUUGAUACCAAGGAUGGAUUCGGGGUGAGCGCGCAGAGAUCACCGCCCGGGGCUUGAACCAUUGUCGUGGCGUGUGCGACGAUGUCGCCACCGGAUGGUUAAGCCAGCUUGUGGAUUAUGCCGCUGGAGUGACUUGAGCCAUUGUUGGGUGAGGUGCGAUUCGUUCGCCGCCAGAUGGCCAAGUCAAGGGACUUGAACUAGUGUUCGGCGUGUGCGACGACUUCGCCGCCAGCUGGUUAAGUCACAGAGUGCGGCCAGUGCGCGGACUAUCCGCGGAUGAUUGACUCGAGGCCGAGUCGGGUGGUUAGCUUGAUUAGGUUAAUAGAAACCUUGAAAGCUAGUGAGAAAGGUAAGAGCUAAGGUAAUAGAAACCUUAGAAGCAAGUUGAGCUUGGAUUGUGGCGAGCUAAGGUAGUAGAAACCUUAGAGUCAAAUAACAUGAGCUAAGAUUAGCAGAGUUAAUGUAGAAUCAAUAGAUCUACUGAAUGGUUGCUUAAUUGUAUAGAACUGCAUAAUAUUCAUAUUGCACGUUGCGAGGCAUGUUAUCUGUUAGUUGCAUAGUAACAUUAUGAUAUAUAUCUAUGGAUGUUUUUGGACUAACAUGAUUGCAGUGCCUCCUUGGACCUUUUGGUCGAGCUUUUCCCUUGGGUGGCCGUACCCACUGGGAACCAUGGAGUUGGUUCUCACCCCACGUUGUUUUGGGGUAUUACAGGUUCGCACGUGAGCGGCGCGGCGGCGCGAGGAAAGGGCGUAGCUCAGUAGAUAGCGCCCUACCCAGAGAACAAGGUAGCAGUACCCUGAGGCAGUCUAGCUUAGGGGACUAGAGGGAAAUGAAAAGAACACAAUGUAUCAAACUGUAAUAAGUAAAUAAUGUAAUAACUUAGAAUGUAUUUGGAGGAAUCAAAUGAGAACUGUGAUGUAAAAAUGUAUGAAUGUGAAUGUAUGUAAUAACAUAGGAUGUGUUAUGUUGUUGAUACCUUCCUUAUGCAAUCUGUUGUUAAGUACUGUUCCUGGUUGGAACCUUUGUAUUGUAUUGAUUGCGAUGCCUUGAACGUACAGGGGAGACUCUGUCCGCAGUACAGGGGAAACCCUGUCCGUUCGGCGCUGUCGGCGCCACGACCUCGGCCAAAUAGGCGGGUGGUCGUGGGUCGUGACACUUGCCGAUGCUGACGCCGCCGCCGUGCUCGUAGUGUGCAGCGGCAGGGAGCGGCGAGGAGACGGAUGCGCGGUGGGGGAUCGGGUGCGCCUGCGUCGGUCGCUACUCACACCCGCCAUUGAAGCUCCGCGGCGGCUCCCGUCCCCUCCGAUUCCGCGUGGAGAUCGCCGAAGAUCUCUCCGGCGGCGAUCACCGGAGAUCUCGGCAGGAACAAUAUGAAUGGGAAGGGUUUGGGAGAAAAAAAACGUCGGGAUAUGUCAUUGGUAUUAGGUGGGGUUGGGGAACUUAAAAUACAAUGUACAAAGACGAAUAAAUAAAAAAAGUGUUGGUAUAUUUUCAAACGUUAGUUGUGGUAUGGUGGUUAAGAGGGAUAGAGGAUUUGUAAAGGUUGCCGGUUCAAGUCUCAUUCACUUAUUUUUUGUGACAAAAUUUUUUUUUUAUUUUGUAACUAAAGAUUUUUUUAGUGACAUACGAAAUUCAAAUCCGUAGCAAAUGCAUUGCUUUUUUGUAGUGGAAUUAUAUGCCAAAUUAAAUACACAAUUCCUAAUUCCUAAUUCCCUCUCUCUACUCAUUUGUAUUACAGCAACCGAACCCAUCUCUCUCCCAUGCGUCCGUACGCCCCUCCCCCGUAUGUUCAAGCACCUGCAUGCGACACACUCCAAUCACUGUCGUCAUCGCCGUCAUUCAUAGCUGCCACAGCUACAUUCCUCAUCUAUCGAUAUAUUUGUUUGCCGUCGACAACAUCUUGUCGUUGUUGUCACCGUCUUUGUGAAGGUUUCCCUCUUUUUCUUCAUUUUUGUAUCUAUACUGAAUAGAUCAUCUGUCACGCCCCACGACCGCCCGCCUAUUUGGCCGGGUCGCGGCGCCGCCAACAGACCGCCGAACGGAUAGGGUUUCCCUUGUACCGCGGACAGAGUCUCCCCUGUACAUUCAAGGCGUCGCAAUCAAUACAAUAUAUGAAGUUCCAACCAGGAACACAUUUCAAUCAAAAAUUGCAUAAGGAAGUAUCAAAAACAUAAUCUACUUGUUAUUACAAGCAUUCACAUUCACUAGAUACAUUUUACAUCAUAAUUACACAUUACAUUUAACUUCCAAAUACAAUCAAGCUUUUAUUACAAAUUAUUACAAUCUUAUUUCUUUUCAUUUUCUUACAUCCCUAAGUAAAGCCGACUUAGGGUACCUCUAUCUCUGGUGUCGGUGGUAGGGCGCUAACUACCGAGCUACGCCCUCGCCUCGCGCCGCCGUGCUGCUCACGUGUAUACCUGUAACACCCCAAAACAACGUGGGGUGAGAACCAACUCUAUGGUUCCCAGUGGGUACGGCCACCCAAGAAAAAAGCUCGACCAAUAGGUCUAAGGGAGGCAACUGCAGGUUAGUUUAAUAAACAGAUAUAUAUAUAUAUAUAUAUAUAUAUAUAUAUAUAUAUAUAUAUAUAUAUCUAUAUCUUGAUUAUGCAACGAAUAAAAUCAUGCAUUGCCUCACAAACGUAAUAANUUAAUAAACAGAUAUAUAUAUAUAUAUAUAUAUAUAUAUAUAUAUAUAUAUAUAUAUAUAUAUAUAUCUUGAUUAUGCAACGAAUAAAAUCAUGCAUUGCCUCACAAACGUAAUAAUGCAAUGCUAUAUGCAAAUCAUGCAAUAAUGCAACUAUGCAACCAACUAGUAGUUCAUUCGAUACUACUUUCAAUUCUGUUAACCAUAGCUCAUCCAUUUGAUAUCUAAGGUUUCCUCUAUCUUAGAUUCUUGUCAAUCACCGUUUUAAUCAUAAAGUUUCAUCUACCUUUACAAGGCUAACCACCCGACUCGGUCUUGAGUCAAUCGUCUGCGGAGUACCGCACUAGAACCAGGCUCGAGGCGAUGGACGUCUCACAUACACCUCAGCCCUAAAUCCUCUCGACUGGGAUACCAAAUCCAUAACUCAUAAUGCAUACUUGUUGUACAUUCAUUUGGCUAUGACCCAAUCUUACCGGUUAACAAUGUUAACCCGAAUGACUCACAACCAAAAUCCCUUAAUAAUAGGGGACUCGAACCUCCCUGGGGACCGUCUUCUGGGGGGACUUUACCACGCCCAGUGGUGACCAACUCCGGAGCGCACCGCCCGAGGGGGAGCUACCUCCCUCAAGCCAAGACUUAUCGUGAGUAUUAAUCCAAUCCUCAACUUGAGGAUUCAUAGCCAUUUGUCACAAUGCCAUUAUCAUAAUAGGUUUUCUACCUAUUUAUUCAUGCCACUCUCUAUGUCAACUUGGUCCAAUGCCACUCUUGGUUAAACUAUGUUUAACAACUAUAUCCUCUAUGCCAAACAAUGUCUCUAUUGUCAAUGUCACCUUGGUUUACUAUGUCCAAGUCCAACUCUCACAUUCACACAAUUAUAGGGUCCUAACAUACGUGUCCAUUAUGGUUCUAUCAUUCUCUAUGUUCAACUACGUUAGAACAUGUCAUUGAAAGCAACCAAGGUUCACAUGUACUUAGUCCUAUCAAGCAUGAAUGAUACAAAAUAUGUAUGCUCAAAUACCAUAAGUGUUUGCUAGGUUCAUGACACUAGGUUCAAAUGUCAAUAUGUAUCUAAUCCAUAUGUGCUAGGUUCAUGACACUAGGUUCACACUAUACUCGUUCAACCUAUGUUCAAGAUACAAGGUUUAAUGCCACUUGAUGUCGAAUCUAUGUUCUUUGACACUAGGUUCAUAUCAUCCAUGUUCAACCUAUGUCCAUGACUCUAGGUUUAAUGCCACUCGAUCUAUGUGCAUAUAUAUAUAUGUCAACAUGCCCAUAUCCUUUUCUUAACAUUAGUAUCUCUAUAACAUGAUUAUCAAGUAUAUCUUAGUAUUAGCCACAUGUUUACAUUUAGCAUUUCCAUGAUAUGCAUACAACUAACAUUAACCAAUGCUUAUAUUCUAGCAUUUCUAUACCACAUCAUUCAUGCAUUUAUUUAGCAUCCUUUACAACUUAUCAUUAUACUUUACAACUAGCAUGUUCUCUACUUUUUGUUAACAUGCAAAUGUCAUUUAUCUCAUGCUUUUAACUAGCAUCAUUUAUAUUACAUCAUCAUGCAUUCUAGCAUUUCUAUAUUACAUCUUUAGCAUGCAUUUUCUUUAGUAUUUACUACAUGCAUCCAUCUAGCAUUUAUAUGCAUCAAUAUGAAUUCACUUUACUUAGACAUACAGGCGACUUAGUCGCUUCGGUAAGCACAACCCACCUCAAAUCACUUUCCUAUUGCUUGUCGACACUUGCAAUCUGUCACGCCCCGGGGCCGAUUUAAAAGUCCCCGGGGCCGAUUUAAAAGUCAUUACCAUUUUUAAAACUCAGAGUCGCGGAAGAUGUACCAAAUUUUUUUUUUUUUUUUUUUUUUUUUGAAAAACCUGGCCCACGUGACGUACAGACCCGCCACAAAUACAAAGUUCCUCUGUCCAUUCGGGCAGAGCCUCCUUUGUAUCUGCACGGCGUACCAACGGAUACAACAGGAUCACAAUCACAAUCUACAUUUACCAAUCAGCAACCAAUUCAUGAUAUGCAUUUCCAUACAGCUAACAAUCCUUAGAAUGAUGCAUGCCUCUAAGCACUCCUUAAGCGCUGGAUGAUGCAAUGCACAAUACAACAACCAUCCUAUUUAAAAGUGCUCCCCACACAGAAGCUUUUAUUUUUGAACUCUAAUUCAUUCAUCAUGAAAAACCAUUUGAAAACCUUUUGAAAACUGUUUCCCACACAGAAACUCUAUUUUGAAAACCGACUACCUCGAGGGGUAGAAAACCACGAUGCGUAAAUCCAUAAAUACAAAUCCGAGAACAUAAGAAUUCAAACAUCCAAAACUGAAGAUCCAUAAACCCAAUCCUCACAAUUCCACAAAUUCAAUCCAGCUCACAACAUUCAAACAUCAAGUAUGAUCAUCUAACUGAACCAUAUAAAUAUAACUAAGCUACAACAACAGAAUAGUAAGGAUAGAAAACUAAAUCGAUAACCUGGUCGGAAGCUCUAAUCGACUGCUACGAACGUACGUCACGUUGCUCCAUAACUCAUCGCAAACAGCGAACGUGCCUUAUUUCCCGACAGAAAACAAAGUAAGUGGGACGAUGAUCAGCAAUCUUGCAGUAUAUCGUUACUUCCGAUGAACGGGAUCUCGGAAGCCUGAAAAGAAAGCCCAUCAAUUAUAAGCCUAUUGCUUGGCCGGAGCAACCAUUGCCCGGCCGUGCUUCGGCAUCGGCGCGCCCGGCCCUGAGUCGGGUGAGGGGAAUGUAGAACAAGUGCUCACUCAGAUCAGCGCUGAGCGCGGGGCGACGGCGGGGCAAGAUGCUCGCAACGGUUAUGGCACGUUCCAGAGUUUGUUUGCGGCAGGCGGCGGUGCGAGGAGGAGGAGGGUUUGCAGAGGCCGCAGGGGUGCCAGGAGUGCGCAUCGGUAGCGGCGGCGCGCGGAAAGACCCGAGCUCGCUGUCGCCGAGCUUGCCAGGAUCGCCAUCGACUGCAGCGUCGGCUGCGGCGUUCGGCGACGGGCGGCUGGCGCGGGGAAUGACGGCUACCGGAAAGUACUGCGAGAGUGCCAGCUGUGGCGGCGUCCAGCAAAAAGGCGCACUUGUCGGCCUGGCUCGGUUGGGGAUACUGCAGGGUUGAGCAGCGGAGCGAGGAGCGCGGCUGUCGACGGAGCUCGCACGAGCGGCGACCCGGUGAAUGGCCGGGAGGCAUGCAGCCUCGCUGUGGCUCCUAACCGAGAAAAAAAGGGAAUAAGAAUAGGAGAGAGAAGAGAGUAGAGAGAGAGAGAAAAAGGUAUGCCGCGGUGGGCUGCCGGCCGGGCUCAGUCGCGGGCUGGGGGUUGAACACGGGGCAGGGGCAGGUGAAUGUGGCUGGGGCGCAGGUGAAACAUAGGUUAGGUUUUUCAAUUUCAAAACCCUAGAAUAACUUAUAUACAUAAGGCGUUAAUCCGCGCGAAUAAGUCUGCCAAACUCGGUAAUGUCAUCCGAAGUCCUCCAGGUAGACAAAAAGCAAGAAUAUAACCUCAGUGCGAUUCUCACGCAUGAAGGUACAUAAAUGUCGCGACUUUGCGAAAGAUACGAUUUGCCACACCGACCUCUCCCUAUUCAACGCGGAUCCUGGCAAGAUCCUCGUCCAAUUGCGAACGGAUUGCACCAGUGCGAUCAGCACGACGGAGACAACAAAGCUGCGAUUUCGUUUCGUCUUGAUCGACCACGGAUUCACGACAAAAUCCAACCUUUCUACCAAUAGAAGAAAUCACACAAAAAUACAUAUAAAACACGUAUUUUUGGAUUUUCUCGAGAUCCGUGCGUCAAACUCAAAAUCCGUCAGCGUCAUUAGUUCCAGAAUAGCUGACCCGGUCGAAACGAGCUAUUGGACUGCUAUGAACAGAGUCCGGUACGAGCCAGAAGCCAACUUCUCACCGCGGCUUCUCCGGAGAAUCGAGUUACUAUUCACUUUAAGUGAAACUUGGAAAUCGCGUAGAAUUUCCGUUUUAACUCGUUUUCGCACGAAACUUGACGAGUGCUUUUGUAAUUAAAUUACACACAAAAACAUCGUCAACUGAGAGUUUAGCUACACUGCAUAAAUCUCAGUCCUUACAUCAUCCCCUCCUUAAAGGAAGUUUCGUCCUCGAAACUUGCUCACAGGCAGGGGUGAUCCUACGCCAGAGAAUCAACACUCACCUCGGGGAACCGAACUACAACCCGACAAAGCCAGAACUUAACCAUCGGAACCCAUCGAUGGCACUCAACUCUCUUAGGUCCAAGACCUAACCUUUUGCCUAGACCAAAAAGGUCUAAGGCUGCAAGUACCAGUUGCCUUACAAUUGAACCUGCGCAACUCUCACUCGGGUACAAACAGAUCAACAUAAACCAAUGCAUGUCCGUUACUAAGUGAACAAGGUUGCCUCUCGCAACAUGCGAUCGUAACCACCAGUGAUGCCAAACACCUGUCUCUACGAGACCCUGUCGCUGCCGUCCCCAAGGGACCCUAGCGAUCGAUGUUCCUAGCAACACUAAAUGCCCGUCUCAUUGAGACUUCAACAUACCUUUCACCAAGUGACCGAACAAUGACACAAUCCAAUCCAAGGUAUCCACGAUAGACCAAAACAUAUACCUUGUACAACAACGCAAGCUGCGACAUCUGAGCCAACUACAAGGCUCACUAGAUGAUCAAAGAUAACCGUCACCUCUCAUGCAAGAGAAAAGAAAUAUCGACCCAAUCCAGAUGUUCCCCAAAGGGGUAGGAUAUCCUGUCCUAACUUUUGACAAUACGUUGUCUGCAGCCAACGUACUUAUCAAAAGAAAGGUAAGAUACCCGUGGAUCUAUUACCAACAACAAGUUGGAGACAUGACACAAAACUAAGACAACCAAUGACCCUAUAAUGCGCUAGAAUGCACGAACAAAGAUCUGACCUCACGAUUGUACAAAAGCAAGACUCAACACACACCACACUGACAAGAAACCCACAAAGGUCGAAACAUCUGCCUAGGUAACUCCACCAACAAAACCACCUGACAUAACUCAAUAGAAUACACCCUGUGCUUGCGGAUUGACCAGCAAAAACUUUCAAGUCCCGUGUUGGAGGUGGGGCAAUAACACUAGCAAUAGCAGUCUGAUGACACAUCACUAUUCAGAGCUGGUUCGCUCUCUGCCCCCACUCCUAACACCAAAACAAGCACAUGCCAUAACCUGCAACACAAGAACACGAGGUAAUAAACACAAAUCAACCCUCGAACCUAUUAGAUCGAUAACCUCGAGACUAAAUCUCAUAUACCCCGCGCUCGUACGUGCCUACGAUUUUAUGGUCAUCCUAUGGUCAACCUAACCAAUGGUUCAGUUAGAAAACUUGUAAAAGCAGUUGUAGUUGUUUCACGCUCUGAUACCAUCUUAAUCUGUCACGCCCCGGGGCCGAUUUAAAAGUCAUUACCAUUUUUAAAACUCAGAGUCGCGGAAGAUGUACCAAAUUUUUUUUUUUUUUUUUUUUUUUUUUUUUUUUUUUUUUUUGACCCGCCACAAAUACAAAGUUCCUCUGUCCAUUCGGGCAGAGCCUCCUUUGUAUCUGCACGGCGUACCAACGGAUACAACAGGAUCACAACCACAAUCUACAUUUACCAAUCAGCAACCAAUUCAUGAUAUGCAUUUCCAUACAGCUAACAAUCCUUAGAAUGAUGCAUGCCUCUAAGCACUCCUUAGGCGCUGGAUGAUGCAAUGCACAAUACAACAACCAUCCUAUUUAAAAGUGCUCCCCACACAGAAGCUUUUAUUUUUGAACUCUAAUUCAUUCAUCAUGAAAAAUCAUUUGAAAAUCUUUUGAAAACUGUUUCCCACACGGAAACUCUAUUUUGAAAACCGACUACCUCGAGGGGUAGAAAACCACGAUGCGUACAUCCAUAAAUACAAAUUCGAGAACCACAAAGUAUACAAACAUCCCAAAACUGAAGAUCCAUAAACCAAAUCCAUAAUUCCACAAAUCCACAAAUUCAACCAGCUCACAAUAUUCAAACAUCAAGUAUGAUCAUCUAACUGAACCAUAUAAACUAAUUAAGCUAUAACAACAGAAUAGUAAGGAUAAAAACUAAAUCGAUAACCUGGGUCGGAAGCUCUAUCGACCGCUACGAACGUACCUCACGUCUCGUCCCAAAACUCAUCGCCUGUAAUACCUGAAAAAUGGUGGGGGAGGUGAGAACAUGUAAACAUGUCUCCCCUCCCAGUGGGUACCGCAAGCCGAUGAAGGCGAGGAGUACUCACCGGAUCAGGAAGAGCUAAACAACAGUACGGGUCAGUAGAAAAUACAGUAGCAAUAACAAAGAAUGAAGAGACAUAUAUAUGAAAGAAAGUACAACUACCGCUACUGUAAUGUACAACUGCAAGCAUACAAGGAUAUCAAAACUAUAGUAGUAAGACAACUGUAAAGAAAGAACUAGAAGUAUAUAUACAACAACCACUACUAUAGCUAUAUGCGUCAACCGGACGAGAAGUCCAAAAGUACCCAAUCUAAACCGCCGUGUCGGUCUAAGGACCUCAGGCAAAAGCCACUAUCUGCUCACACCUGGCAUGUAACCCUAGCACAAAGACAACACCGCUGGGCUCACGGGUCGGAUGUACGACCACUUUUCCGGAAAAGAACACCCUCCUGCGGGGGAUCAACCCGCUGGUGUACGUGAAAUGCACUCGAGCUGUGGCGAUCAAUGCAGAUAUGAUCAAUAGCCAAACGUCGGCAACCAGCCGACAAUCACCGCCCCUCGGGGCAAACCGACCAAUAGGUCAUCCAACUGUAAGAAAGCACAAGAACCAACCAGUCAGGUCAACUAAGAGGGAACCACUCAACAUCCUAUCGAAGGUAUACAAGCACUGACUACUAACGUCAACUAACAUAUAUGCACGACGAACCGGCGAAUAGGUCACCAGAGUAUAACAAUAAAUCCCGAAUUACCGUCGGCCACUAGCCGACAAUCCAACCCCUCAGGGUACACCGACCUCAUAGGUCAUCGACGACAGGACUCACGAAGCUGACAGACUAGGUCACAAACAUACCAAAUAGUGGAACUGAAUAAACUAUAAUCAUCCGUCGGUGCUAGCCGACAAUCCCACCCCUUAGGGUCUACCGACCUCAAGGGUCAUCGAACGACAGAAGUCAAGAAACAGACCAGCCCAAUACAUAAUGCAACAACCGACCAACCAGGUCAACAGAUAUAAGAUAAAAGCACCGAUCAACUAGGUCACCGAAACGAAGUACGAGAACCGACCAAUCAGGUCACCGAAACAAAGUACGAGAACCGACCAAUCAGGUCACCGGUAUCACAUAUGGAUAAACUACUCUACUCCUACACAUGAUACUAAGCAUAGAAACAUAUGAGUAGAGUAUAAUAGAAACAACGGGGAUGCAAGCUCAAUAUACUAUGCGAUAGUAACAAUAGAAGAGUAAGGGUAAGAAACCGUCACCAAGCGUGCACCACUGUACCGACGUCGGAUCGAAGUACCCACCUGUACAGAUGUCGCGUCUGUCUCCUGACUGCAAAAGAAUGUCGACAGGACCUAUAGAGGGUCCACCGGGUUAGUAUCUAACCCACAACUAAUAAUCACAGUAUCCACAACCCCACAAACGAUUCCACGAAGAUCGGUUUCCCAAUAUCGAUUACCGUAACUCACCGGAAGUCCCGAAAACUACACCGGGACGCCGUCGGGACCCACUACGUGUCCCGAAACUCACCGACUCGUGUCACGAGUCACCUGCUGCCCCAAAACACUCCAAUUUGGGUGUUUUGGCAGCAAACACAAGAUAACACCCCUACACAAUUAUCGCCGGAUAAUUGUACGAAUCCGGGUUCCCGAAUGCGUUUAUUUCGACACCGGAACCCACCGUCGCUCACCCAUCAUCACCGAACCCACAAUGUGAUGAUGGUGACCAGCCAACAAGGCUUAGCGACUACUCACAGAGCAACCAAACAACGUCGGAAGAAAUCCGAACCGAAACCGCGUUCUUUCGGCGAAUUUCGCCGAAAAACGCACCAAAAUCGACUCUUCGAUUUCCGCGAAAACUACAAGAUCAUGGACAAUCAGUCCAGAGGUCAAACACACUCACACACAUUGCCCACAGUAGCCACACAAUGCACAAUUGCAUAAAAGCCCCUCAACUUACAUAAAAUUCCAUUAUUUUAUGUAAAUUGAGCGAUCAAGCGGCUCGUUCACGUAAACCGAGAACUUAUAAAGUCCGCAGAGACACGUGCUGACAGGUCUCAACGUACCGGAGUCCGUGCUCAUGAUCCGGAGCACAGCGGCUCACCGUGGGAAGCGCGGGAGCAACCCGAAGGUUCAGCGAAUAGCGCGCAGUCAGGGAAGAUCGCGCCGAACAGAACUAACCGGACACUUCUGAUCCAAAGUGAGGUGAGCACUGCGAUCAGCACUGACCAACGAUCACCGUGCUCACCUCCGGAGGCAUCAGAACAGCCUCGGAUCACCGGAUAAGCGUGCGCAAACCCAAAACAGCAGCCAAAAAGGCUGAAACGGAGCGACAUCGCCAAAACAGCAGAACGGGGCCUUCCCGACAGAAACAAAGGUGAGCACGAUGAUCAGCAACUUGCCAGGAUCAUCGUGCUCCCUUCCGUAGAGAUCGGGGAAGCUCGGGAAGCCCAGAACAAGAAACCCACUCAAAGAAGCCCUAUUUCGGGCUUGGCCGGAGCAACCUUGCUCCGGUCGGCCUCCGGCGGCACGGCGGCGCGCGCGGGGCCCUGAGUCGGGUGAGGGGGAGGGGAGGAACACCGUGCUCACCUCAGACAGCGGCUGGAAGCGGCGGCGGCGAUGGCGGGGCAAGAUGAGCCCGCACGGGUUCCAGGAGUUGCUGCGGCCACGGCGGCGGCCGAGGAGCUCCGGGACGGCGGAGGAGGGUUGCAGGAGGCUGGAGGGGUGCCAGGAGUGCGGCCUCGAGUGGCGGCGGCGCGGGGAAGAAGACCCGAGCUCGGCUCGGGCCGAGCUUGCCCAAGGAACCCGCCAGGCGACUGCAGCGCGGCGGCGGCGUUCGGCGACGGCGGCGGCGUUCGGCGACGGCGGCUGGCGGCGGGGAAGGACGCCGGGGCUCCGGGAAGUCGACCGAGGUAGUCCACGCUGGCGGCGGCGCAGAGAAAAGGGCCGCAGGCUUGCCUCGGCCUGGGCUCGGGUUGGGGAGCUGCAGGCUGCAGCAGCGGCACGAGGAGGCGGCGGCGGUCGACGGGGAGGCUCGCCGGAGCACGGGGCGACGCCGGUGAAGGGCCGGGAGGCAACUGCAGCCUCGGCCUGGCUCCAACCAGAGAAAAAGAGAGGGAUAGAUGGAGAGAGAGAGAGAGAGAGAAGAAAGGUGACUGCCGCGGUGGCUGGCCGGCCGGGGCUCAGUCGGCGGCGGCCGGGGGGUGGUGCAGCAAGGGCAGGGGGCAGGGUGAAGGUGGCUGGGGGCGCAGGGAGAACUAGGGUUAGGGUUUCCAAUGCAAAACCCUAGAAUACCUUAUAUACAUAAGGCGUUAAUCGCGCGAAAGUCCCUCCAAACUCGGUAUUUCAAUCCGAGUCCCUCACGGUACGACAAAAACGCAAGAAUACCCCUCCACGGGCGAUCUCACGCAAAACGGUACAUAAAAUGUCGCGACUUUCGCGAAAAUACCAUUUUGCCACUACCGACCUCUCCUCGAUCAACGCGCGAUCUCUGCAGAUCCGUCCGUCAGAUUUGCGAACGGAUUGCACCAGUGCGAUCAGCACGACGGAGACAACAAAGCUGCGAUUUCGUUUCGUCUUGAUCGACCACGGAUUCACGACAAAAUCCAACCUUUCUACCAAUAGAAGAAAUCACACAAAAAUACAUAUAAAACACGUAUUUUUGGAUUUUCUCGAGAUCCGUGCGUCAAACUCAAAAUCCGUCAGCGUCAUUAGUUCCAGAAUAGCUGACCCGGUCGAAACGAGCUAUUGGACUGCUAUGAACAGAGUCCGGUACGAGCCAGAAGCCAACUUCUCACCGCGGCUUCUCCGGAGAAUCGAGUUACUAUUCACUUGAAGUGAAACUUGGAAAUCGCGUAGAAUUUUCGUUUUAACUCGUUUUCGCACGAAACUUGACGAGUGCUUUUGUAAUUAAAUUACACACAAAAACAUCGUCAACUGAGAGUUUAGCUACACUGCAUAAAUCUCAGUCCUUACACAAUCGGCCUCCCGCGGCACCCGGCACCCGGUUUGGCCCGAUCUCUCGCGCGACCACCCAAACGGCCUCCAAUCCAUGAUCCAGAAAUUAAAGGUCUUCGGUUAUGUGCCACGAUGCUUCAAAUCCGUUUUCAUGGGUUUUCAUCGGUUUACGAAGCCUAAACGUCCGUUUACCUAGCAAUUAGGUUUACAUAGGGUCAAAAUAGAUCAAACCCAUCUAUUAGCAAAAAUUAUAUUUUGGAGCCCUAGGUUGCAAUUAUGCAAGAAAUUAUUAAAUUCAUCCAUGAUUUAAGCAACAAUCAUCUCUUUAGCAUGCUAGAAUAGCUCUAAAUCCAUUCUUGAAGCUUAAAACCCAAACUACAAGGAGAUACCAUUAAA
rnacentral:lncRNA from 1 species